rnacentral:lncRNA from 1 species
GUACCUUGCUUGAUAUUCUAAUUAGAUGAACUCGACCAAAAUUUUUUGAUGAACCGGUGUGGAUUUGAGUGGUCCAAACUUGGUAAAGUGUACGACAUUCCUAUUCACUUAGAUUUGCCAUAAAAUUUGCUGACUUCGCAUAAAAUUUGGGCUCCUUUUUUAUUUUAUUCUAAGGAAUUUAAGAUCAUUGACUACAUAUUACCAAAACUAUCUCUGACAUUUACGUGUUAUAUGGAAAUCUAAGAUCAUUGACUACGGGUUACCAAAACUAUCCCUAACAUUCACGUGUUACACAAAAAUCUAAGAUCAUUUGGAUUGUCAUCUUCUAGUAAAUGAUGAGACUUGGAAACUUGAUAUUCUAAUUAGAUGAACUUGACCAAAAUUUUUUGAUGAACCGGUGUGGAUUUGAGUGGUCCAAACUUGGUAAAGUGUACGACAUUCCUAUUCACUAAGAUUUGCCAGAUGAUAAGUUCAGAAUGCUUAUCUGCGGUAAUCCAAAUAGAGUUCAAAUAAAGGUAAAUUACUUCAAUAGAAAACUAGAAAGAUCUGAAAUCCUCUCUUGCAUGCUUUAGGGGCUUACUUUUCCUCUCAAACUCACCAAAUGAAAAUAAAUUCCUUUUUACUCUCUGAAUUUAUUUUGGUUGCCAAAUUGCUGAAAAUUAACUAUCCUCUAACUAUUUUUCCGUUUUUCUCCUCUAACUAGACACAGCUAACUAAACCAUACAUUGGUAAGUGCCAGAUCCCUUCACUUAUAAAUGACAAUACAGUACUUUAGACGGGUUGACAACCACGAAACUAGCAUCGUCCAGUUAUCCUAGUCCAAUAUGAUAUCACGAUAUGAUACUAUGAAAUAUGAUAUCCUACCCCGGUUCUCUACCUCCCUUCUUCCCUCUCCCUCCCCCCUCUCUCUCUUUUCCUCUCUCCUGUUCCCUCUCUCCCUCUCCCCCUCCCUCCCCUCUCUACUAUGUCGGUAUGGGCCUGGCACAGAACGGCAUGAGGUCGUACCGAAUCGUGCCAUCAACCGAUCGUAUUGGGCUCUAGCACCGGAACAACAAACUUUGGAAGAAACCAAAUUCUUUUUCACCGCAAUGGGUUUGAUCACCUCCAAUUUUCAUAUUUAGUACUCAACGUGUACCAUAUGAACGUAAAGGUAUUGUUCACCGGCUCCUUUGAAUGGUUUGUGGUAUUUUAUGUAUUUGAUGUGGUUGAUACUUGAUAGAAAACACUUUUUUGAUUUCAAGAAAAGGAGGGGCUAGCCAACCAAAAACUCUUCAUUGAGAUAAUGAAUGAUAAGAAGUGAUUAUAAGAAGAGUUGAGUGGUAUGAUGCCGAAGUAAGGAAACAAAUAGAACCAAUUCCCUAAAACCAGUAAUGGGAACCAUAUUGGUAUGUUAUUAGUUCAAUAUGGUAUGGUUGGUAUGGCACGAUAUAUACUCCAUAUAAGGAUAGGCUGUCAACACUUUUUUUCUCACUCCUAUUGAUGAUACUACUUAAAAUCUACCAGUACAAGGUGGUUCCACUCGGUUCGGUUCAGUAUGGACUGGUUCGGCUCAUAUACCAAAUUGUUCCUAUAUACUAUAUUGGUACCUUACUGGUAUGGUAAGGUACGGUCAGUUCAAAGUGGAAUAGGUCAGUAGCAGACAUUGCAUAAGGCAAAAGAUAAGGAUUGGAGUUAAGAUAGAAUACAAAAUACAACUCAUUAGUUAAAGCACCUUUGACCAUGUUAUGCAUGUGUCUCUUAGUCUCGUUGACCAAUUUUCCCUAUGCUGAAAACAUUAUGGAUUUUGGUUCUUGCUCCUUCCAUAGAAACAUUCUUCGGUUAUGUUUUUCCAUAAUGCUCAAGCAAUGGCCAAAAACAACUACAUCCACACAUCUUGUAACCUACGAGCUAUUGUUUCUCUUCUAGUGAGACCACAAAACUUUAAUAGUGUGAGGUAGCAUUGGUAGCUUGAAGAGGACAGGAUGGCUUCCAAACUUCCAUAUAUCAAGGACAGGAUGGCUUGUAGAAUGUUUCAACUUUCAUAUAACUACAAAAAUUCUUAUAUGACUCCUAAAUGGGUCUUCUUUCUCGAGAUUUGUUAUUAGUUCUCUCUCUGUGUCUCGGUAAAGGUGUGCAUUCUUGUUUGUUAUACGAGCACCAUGCCAAGUGCAUGGCUUGACUUCUUUUGACUUGCCAAUGUAGAAGGUGUGAAGGAUCUUGACAUCCAUUGGGGAGGCAAGGAAGGGUGUCAGCAGAACCUUUGCUUAUAUUCUUUCUAUUUUUCCUAUGUCAUCUUUGUUUAAGUUCUCCAAUCUAUAAUGGUCUCUUUUUAUUUAGAAGGUAGCAAAAACUAAUCCGAAAACUUAAAUAGCAUAACAAAUCAAUAACUUUCUGAACAAAAAAGUAUUGGUACUAGGUUAAACAAUCUAAAAAAAAACAAGUGGCAUAUAUAUAUAUAUAUAUAUAUAUAUAUAUAUAUAUANNNNNNNNNNNNNNNNNNNNAUAUAUAUAUAUAUAUAUAUAUAUAUAUAUCAAUCUUCUUGGAGGGCAGAACUAAAUGAAAUAGAGAAUGUGUUGUUAGAAUCAACACAUGCAAAAGAAAACACAAUGGGAAUCUCCCCAAAAAUAAAAAGAAAAAAGAAAUAGGAACAUACCAUCAUCUUUUGCAAGAUCAUGCUGGAAGAAAUUCGUAAAGGAAAAUAAGCAAGAGAUAGAUCGAUAAGAGAUGAUCACGUUCUUUCUAAUCUUCAAGAGGGGAAGAGGUAGAAGGAUUUUGUAGAAGAGACUUGGUUUUCAUGAAAGUAUGAGAAAGCUGCCGGUGGAAGGGUUAGAGAAGAUAAGACAUAGGGAUGGAGGAGAGGCAGGAGUCAUGUAUCGAGAUGGGAAGAAUAUUAAAUAGAGACUGCAUGAAGGCAUAUGGGAGAAUGGAGUCACGCCAUAGGUUUUGUGCAUCUUGAAGUGCAGCUAUUUCUUAAAGCUACAAUUCAUACUUCUUCUUCUUAAAAAAAGUCUAGUCUCAAGUUUGUUAUCAAACAACAAUCUUUUUGGAAAACAACUUCUUUACUUUAAGAGUUUAGAGAAAGUGUUUUCGUGAAGCAACCCCAAACUCACCCUUAGACUAUCAAAAGAAUAUUUGAUCUAAAAUGGAUUUAUCUCAAAAGUUAGAUGCAAAGCAUACUUAAGACUCUAUGAUCUUUUACUUGCCCUCCUUGCCUCUAUGUAUAGGCUAAGAGGUGGGUGGAUCAGCAAAAGGUGGAGCCAACUUCACUUGGUCACAAGUGGGGCCCACAAGGUCAAGCAUGCAAUUUAGUCGGUUGGGAAAGAGUUCCAAUAAGUAGGUUACUUAGUCAGUUCUCAAAUAUUAAGGUUUCAUAAAUCCAAUUGUACCUAAACAUUACUAAAAUUCAAAAAUCGAUUAAAAAUGUCUUAUGAAUUAGUCUCCAAAGCAUGUCAGCUAAAAUGAUAUUUAAUGAUACUUUGCACUUCCACAUAUAUACAUAUUUUUCUAGUGAUACGUUGGGUUGUCACAUCAUAUGUCAAGAAAUUUGCAGCUAAUGAUGGAUUUUUACAUACAAAAAUACAUCAACUUAGAAGCCAAUUGUAAAGUCUGAAAUUUUGAAAGAAACUCGAAAAUUGAAAAUAAUGUUGAGGUUUAGAACUUCGAGAAAUCAUAUGAACUUGAAAUUGACUAAGAGGUUAAAUAGACCUUAAAGUAACAGAUUUUAAAAAUUGAAAAUGAUUAUUCAAAAGAAAACAUAAGAUUCCUGUCAAGACUUUCCUUCUUCUCUUCUCUUUCUCACUCUAUUUUCUCUCUCUGAAAAGGCCAAACUCUUUCACAUGUCCUUGAUUGACCUUCCUUAGCAUCUAUCUAUAGGCUACAAAGGUCCAUCCAUUGAAGUCAUUUCCCUAGUACAUUGGUUCGGUAGUUUAUGUUUGAGUAUGCAUACUACCCACUUAGCAGAAAGCUUACUCAAUUACAUAGGCUUUAUUAUUCAUAUCAAUAUCAUUUAAGAAAAUUUACUUGACAUUACUUGUUAUACAUGUUAAUAAGAUACUAUUCCCAUUUGGGUUCAAUAAAAGUAAUCAAAUUUAAAACUCCAUAGAAAUAAAAAGUUGACAUUGCAGCUUUACUCCAAAUUCUAGAUUUAGGAGUUGGAUCACAUCAGAAACUAUAAAAUUCUAAGAUAUUUCUCAAUUAAGAACAAGAUAGCUUCUCUUUUAUUUCAUGUGCAAGCAUGUCCACUUUACAUUGCUUUCUUGUACCAUUUAUCUUAGCAACCUAGAAUCACUUAAUGUUUUUGUCAUAUGUCAUGUAUAUCAGGUCGGAGUUGAUAAUAUGUGUAUACUUGUGCAUGCUGUCAAACGCCAACCACUAGAGUUGCCAUUAGAAGGGAGGAUAUGUAAUGCACUUGUGGAAGUUGGACCAUCAAUUACUCUUGCUAGUUUAUCUGAAAUUCUAGCCUUCGCCGUUGGUAGUUUUAUCCCGAUGCCGGCUUGUCGUGUUUUCUCCAUGUUUGCUGGUUAGAUCACUUUAAAUCCUCAAUCUUGCAUUCACUGUGAUUUACUUUGAUGCUAGGGUUUAAUCACCCUGAUCUGCUCUUGUGCAGCAUUAGCUAUUCUCUUGGAUUUCCUUUUGCAAGUUACAGCAUUUGUUGCUUUGAUAAUCUUUGAUUUUUUGAGGGCUGAAGAUGAAAGGGUUGAUUGUGUUCCAUGUAUUAAACUUUCAUCUAGCAUUGACUCUGAUCAAGGUAUGUUGCUAGCCCUCUUCCAUUUGUGUAUUAAUUGGUAUUCUUUGAUUGUAUUACUUGCUAUAGCUCAUGAAGGCCUUUUCCUAAUAGUUUUGGUUAUUAACACUUAUCUUCAAUAAGUUUAUGGUUUAUGAUAAUGUAGGUAGUAACCAGCAAGAGCUUGGAUUUUUAGCACGCUAUAUGAAAGUAAGGUCUAACACUUUCCUUUUAAAUUUGGCAAAUUAGAUAUUUUCUUGCUUGUGUUAUUGCUCAAGUUGUGUCUCUAUUAAUCAAGAGUUUUACAUUUCUUCUUUAAGAUUUGUCAUUAUCUCAAGUGACUAAUAGUUUCUCCAUUAAGAAAAUAGGUUGUUUGUUUUUUAUUCCACUUAUCUAGCAACUUGUAUUUAUCGUGAACAAUUAUUAUCUAUUAACAUCAACUAGCUUUUUAUGUUUUGGUUGGCUAUUAUUUGAGUAAAACGUGGUCAAAUGAGUGUAUCUGCUUAUGUUUUGGUUAAGUAAUAGUCUUCCAUUUGAGAACUUGUGUGAGCAUGUGCUUGGUCCCAUAUCAUGUGUGCACAUGGGAGGUUUUGGGUACUUUAGGUGGGCCAAGGGACCUGAGUUAUAACCUUCUGGCUAGUAUGUUUGGUUGAGGCCGGUUUUUGUUACCUUCCAGGUUUGUCCAAACAAGCUUAAAAUUGAAGUGAUGGUUAAUCUAAAUGUCUUUCAUGAUAAGUGUUAUGUUGUUGCUAUUUUUGUUUUGAACUCAUUGACCAGGACUAAACCACUGAGGUACUGAAUCAUGGGUUCUGAUUUGAUGGUGAGUUAAUAAUAAGUCAAACAAGCCAGAUCCUAAUCCUAAUCAUAGAAUCCCUUCGAUCUCCCAUAUUUCCUCCCUAAAAAAUUGUAAUUUAGAUGUACUUUCUUAGGGCAUAUUCAAUUGUUCUCUCCCUCUUUUACCCAUCUUGGAGUGCUGGAUCUUGCACCACCUAGUAAAAGAAGAGAAAUAGGCCCAUAUUCUUUAUGGUCCAUCUCUUUGAGACCAGCUUCCCUUUGCUCCGACUCAUCAGAUGCGGCAACUUAGUCUUCACCCAUUUGAGAUUUAGCCUCCCCUUCCUCUAUCUACUUGAGAAUCUUCCUCGUAUGCAACCAUUUACAUGGUUUCCAAUGGUCCUACCCCCAUCCCUACGAGAUUUAGACAACCUUGCCUCUAGUCCCUCGGAUUGAACCUUUUACACCUUCUACUAAUAUGGGAUUGUGCGGUCCCACAUUCCUAUAAAAUAUAGCUAUUUGUCUUUGUCCGCUCAUGAUUUGACUCUUACACCUUUGUUUGCACAAGAUACAGUUUUCCUAUACCCACAAUUCCUACCAGCCCCAUUAUGUGAUCCAAGAUUUGCCGUACCAGAACCGGUAGGCGUACCAGUCGCCUGUCGGACUGGUACGGUACCGGUUCAGACCGGUUUGAACCAAUACCGAACCGGCGAAUAGAGGGGCGUGGAAGGGGAGAAAACACGUCCGCGGGAGCCUGCGCCCAUGUUAGAUGCUACAGAGUGGCUUAAAUGCCACUUUGUAGCAUUAAAGGCCCGCGCGGGGACCCCGUGCGGGCGCGCGCUGCCCCGUGUGGGGAACUGCACAAGGGCAAAACCGCGUUCGGAGCUGCGCGUGGGCGCGGUUCCUAGCGCAGGGAACCGCGCGGGGGCGCGCUGCCUCGCGCGGGCGUGGUUCCCCGUGUGUGGGCGGGCUACCCCGCGUGGGGAACCACGUGCAGGUGUGUUGCCCCGCAUGGGGAACUGCGCACGAGAAUGCAGAAAAGUUUUUGGUUUUGCCCUUUUUUGACAAUUGAGUUGGAUGUGUCAUACUCGGUUUAGUCCAAUGAUUUGACUCUUACUAAAUUGUAUCGAGGAGGAACCAACAUGGUUCUGGCCAUCAGUUCGAAAAAUCCGGUGAGGGAGAGAGAGGACAGAGAGGAAAAGAGAGAGAGAUGGAGCACGAGUGAGAGAAAGAGAGGGAGAGAGGAAGAGGGAGGGAGAGCAAGACAGGGUGAGAGAGGUCUCGAAAUCCCUCAUCUAAUAAUUUGUCUGCCAUCCACAGGGGGUUACCCCUAUUUCAAACAAAACAAGGACCCUUAAUUAUUUUUUGUAAGAAUUCACGAGUGAAGUCAGCAAUCUAUUUGCAAAACGAACCUUGCAAAUCUUUAGUAGGUGAAACAAGUCACAACAUGGACAGUCAUAACUCAUAACAUAGACCUAUGUUCUGAAAGACUGAAACCUAUUUAACCUACUCUAUUCAAGCUAUACAACCCACCAUCUAUCAACUUUGGCAAGUCGCCUUGGAUAAAAAUGUAUUCAAUCUGAUGACCUACAUGGUUCAAUCAUUCGACGUUCGAACCAUUUGACUAAACCAAGGUUAAUUGUACCAAUACCGAAACCCAUACUAGUUGCUUGGCAGUACGGGAUGGUACACCCUUGUGUUGUGUCGUUCUGUUCUGUACUAGCAAAGGAAGCGCUGGAGAGGGAGGGGGAGAGGGACAUACUGGUCCUUAUCAUUACAAUCCGGUCUUCAUAGAUUGACAUAGAUAUGGACUGGCUUGAUUUUAUUUUUUUCAUCAUGAGCAUUUUCACAUGGCUAGGGAUGUGGCACUACAGGAUAUGAUACCAUUUGUUGGUCCCUCUCUCCUGGUUUCUCUCUUUCCUUCUCCUACUCUCCCUCUGACAAUGGGUUUCAUUUCUAUUGCCGGAACAAUGAUCUCUAGUUUAUAAAUAUAUUUGUAUGUACCAGGAUCUGCUGAACAGGUCGAAACCGACCGGUUCAGCUUGUACCAUACAGGUACCAACCAGCAUCGGUACAAUACAGCCAUAGAAUUCGGUUCCAACUCUUUUGGAGUCGAAACCAAACGGCUCCUUGCCCAUAUUGGUGCGAACCGGUGCGGUUCGAACUGGUACAAGCCAAAUACCAGCACUGAGGAAGAAGAAAAGGAAGAAAAGGAAGAAGAGAAGAAACCUACCUGUCGCAGCGAGCCUCGGGCCGACGAGGAUCAUCCAUCCUGCUCGCGGUUCCGGCCCCUUCUUUGCUCGCGGGAGAAGGGGGAAAGAGAGGAGAAGAGAGGAGGAGAGAGGAGAAGAAAGGAGAGGAAGAGAGUUCGGGAAGGAGGAAAAAGAAGGGAAGGGACAAGAAAAGAAAAGAAAAGAACAGGGCGUCCACGCGGGCGCAAACAGGGAAUCGCUCGUGCCCACGUGCGGUUCCCCGCGCGGGGCAGCGAGCCCAUGCAGCACCGCGUGCGAGCACGAGCCCACACAGCCUCGCGUGGGCAUUUAAUGCCACUAUGGCUAAAAUGCGGACGCGCGCGCGUCGCGGAUUUCUUUUUUUUGCGGUAGGCUGGUUCGGACCAGUUGAAACCGGUACUGGUCCCAUACCAGUUCCAACCAGUACCAAACCGAUACCGAUCCCCAUCGGUACAUCGGUUCAGUCGGUUCCACAUACCUUGGUAUGUCUGUAUGUAUUUAUGUGUAUAUGUGUGUACGUGUUAUUAUAUUCAAGACUCAUCUGGACCCCUCAUCGUAAUAGAUAUUAAAUAAGUUUCCUUCAAUAAGAAAACCCAGCAGCAGAACUCACUCAUUGUAAUUGUAACAACCCAGGAUCUCACCCAAAAUGGCUAGCCGGAAGGUAUUAUUUGGGUUUCUUGAUCCUGUAUAAGUACCCAAGAUCUAUCCAGCGAAUGAACGAUGUGGGACUAAACACACGCCUGCACGGAUCCUUACAUACUCCCCCCGUUCAAGCCCUGGCAUCCUCGUUAGGCUAAGGGUUCAUAUCUAUUCAAAUCUAAUCACAAACAUCACGAUUGGCUCGCGGUCAGUCCCAAUGGAUCCGUGCUGCNNNNNNNNNNGGGACAUAAAAUUUGUACUUGACCUUUUUAUUGAUUAAUAAAAUUAGACAUUUUGUUCAUUCAUAUUAUUAUAUGUGUCCAUGAAUCGUCCUAGAAAUUAAUAAGAUGAUAACACAUAUUCUCAAGAGUUGAGAAUUUAAGACAUGCGUCAUUAGGUAAUUAGUUCCUGAAUUGCUCCUAAUCGAUGGAUCAUCACGAAGGACGAUCCGAUGAGAUUAGUGCACAGAUCACUUUUCUUGAUGGACGAGUCUUAAGUUCACAAUGUGGGGAUACUGGAGUGAUUGUGCAAGUGCUUGUUAGAGAAUAAGAAAACUGAGCGUGAUCAAAACAAGAAGUCAUUUAGAUAUCUAUUCAUUCGUCAGUGACUUACUUGAUGCUACAAUUGUAUGACUAGUACUUAGAUCUGUGAUGCCUCAACUAAUCACAGUAAUGUUGCUGUAAUUUGACAAGCAUAUAAACAUGGACCCUAAGGGUCCUUGCGGUGCAAAUUGGCUGCAGUAGGCUCACUGUCGGAUUAGGGUUGCAUCUAGAUGGGAUCUAUUGACGUUGAUAAAUUAGGAGUGAUCCUAUCUGAUUUAUGAGACUAAGUUUGAAAGACCUUGGCUAGGGCAGUUUUGGAAAAGAGUUUUCCAAUCUCGAACUUGAGUCAAAUAAAUUUGAUAUAUAACGGACGAUGGGGUUUGACGAGUUAUCCAUAACCUCCAUCUUAUCGGGAUCCACGAUAGGAGGUAAUAUAUCAUACGNNNNNNNNNNNNNNNNNNNNAAAAAGAGUUUUCCAAUCUCGAACUUGAGUCAAAUAAAUUUGAUAUAUAACAGACGAUGGGGUUUGACGAGUUAUCCAUAACCUCCAUCUUAUCGGGAUCCACGAUAGAGGUAAUGUAUCAUACGCUAACUACAUCUAGAGAUUCAUCCAUUCCGUUCUGCUGGGUUGCCUCUAUAUGCUGCUAGAUGUCACUAGUGGAUUGUGGGAUUCAAAGGCAUUCACUUGAUGAUCAGUGAACUCUAAAGAGAAGAGUUGAAACUUGAAAUUGUUUCAACCUAUUGAAAGGAGUUUCAAUGAUAUUGUAAUGGAGAUCACAAUAUAUCUCACUACUAGACAGAAUAGAACCUAUGGGGUCACACAUAUUAGAGGUUUUGAUUGUUCCAACGGUUGGAUUGCAAUUUAGAAUCGCAAUAGAUCUUGAUUAUCAAUUUGAUUGAUAAUUGGUUUAACCCACUAAGAGAGUUAAAGAAGAAGGAUUUUCAAUUAGAUUACAAUUUUGAUUGAUUCAAUUGGGCAUAAUUAAUUAGAACUCCUUAUUAGAUAAGGAACUUAAUUCAUAAAGUCCAAUUUGGAUCCUAAUUGGAUUAGGAUUCACAUGAAUCAAAUUGGAGGACACAUUGGGUCCUAAUUGCAUUAGGAUUAAAUCAAACAAGGGGGAUCACAUGUUUUCUAAUUAGAUUAGGAAAUCAUAGCAUGGAAGGAAGGGUUCCUUCAUGCAUGUGAAAGGGGAAAUAAGGGAGAGGCAUGCACCCCUCCUCUUUCAUCCGCACCAAAGAAAGGAGGGGCGUUCGCCCCUUCUUUCCUUGUUUGAUUCCACACACCACAAGGUGCCCCUCCUCUUUCUCCUUUUUCUCCUCUUAGCUUGCCACACGGAGCAAGGAGAGCCCUUGAUUCUCUCCAAUCCCUUUUAAAUAAAGGAUGUGGAAGAAUUAAGUAAGGGGUGUGCAAGAAUUAAGUAAGGGGUGUGGUAGAAUUUGGAGGGAUGAAUCAAGAAGUGAUUUCUCAUUGAAAUUAUUUUUUGUUUAGAUACGCAUGAGAUGCCUAUAAAAGGAGGGGUGGCAUGAGGGCUUAGAAGCAUUGGAAGUGCCUUGAUUCAGCCGCCCACCCUCUUCCUCCUCCUCUUCCAUGCAUGUGCAAAGAAAAGAAGAAAAAGAGGCACAGGCUCUUCUUCCUCUUCGUCCUUCUUCUUCCUCCUCGUCCUUCUUCUUCCUCUUUCCUCUCAAAACAAUCAAGGAGUUGAUUGAAAGAGAGAGAAAAUUAGCCAUCAAGAGAAGAUCUCUGCAAGGAAGCUAGCACCCCGGUGAGAUCAAGGUUCUUGAAGCGAUCUACCUCGUGUGGAUACCUGUGAAGGCCGGACGCUUGUGCGGCUUCAAGCGAACCAAAUACAACGAUCAUCAGAUAGUGGUGAAGAUCUAUCUGCUCAAAGGUAAAGAUAGAAUCUUUACAAUUCCUAAUAGUAGAUCUGAAAUUAAUCAAGUUAGUAAUUUUAAUUUUUCCUUAAGAUUUCAUAAUUUUCUGAGUUAGAGAACUCAGAAUUUUUUUUGAAAUCUACGUUUCCUAGGAUGUUCAUGAGAUGAAUGACCCCAUGCGUGUCUUUCCGCUGCAAUCGUUGCAACACGUGCGGGGGUAACCCGACACCCCUUUUUUUCCCUAUUUGCUUCACAUGCAUGGAGCGGAAAUAGAGAAGGUAGAGGAAGAAGAGGAGAGAUCUCAAAUCCAGACCCUAUUGUUUAGAUCUAGCUUGCUUGAAGCCUUAUUAAAUUAAAACUUGGUAAACCACUCUCCCCCCUUAUUUUUAUCUUUUUAACAUUUUCUUUCAAAAUCAAAACAGCAAGGGGAACAAUGAAAUCAGUCUAUUUGGCUUCUCACAAAAAGGGAGAAAGACAUGACAUUUUUCUUCCAUGAGUCUUAAACUUUAAUAUGUUAUAGGUGGGUAUUAACGUACCAUCAUUUUUGUUGUUUUUAGCUGCAUAUUUUAUUUUUUUAUGUAAUAAUGCUAUUUUUAGAAUGACAUAAUUUUUACAAUAAAAAAUAAUUUUAGGAAAAAGACUUUAAAUUAUUGAAGACCUAUACAAACCCUAAAAAGAUUCUAAACAACUAUUAAAACAAUAAAAGAGAAAAUAUCAGAAAAAAUGUGCAUUUUAGUGAAUUACUGGGAUUCCAGUCUAUCAUCCUAGUACUAUAUGGACCUGAUCCCUAAUUGACACUAGGUCUGGAACCUGGAUUGGAACCUUGGGAAAUCAAGAUUCUCAUUUUAUUUUUGUUUAUGCUCUACACUUGUGAAUAAUGAAUCACGUUGAAGUGAAGAACAACACUAUUACUUGAUGAAAGUGUUUGUUUGGUACUAUACAUGGUAUGUUGUACCGUACUGUACCGAACAAUAAUGGGCGUACCGUACCGUACAGUACUGGUAUUGGUGGCGUACCGACACUCGGUAUGCCAGGCAUACCGCAUACCGUACCGUACUGACACUAUGAUAGUGUGGCACUGAUAUGGGGUCCAGUAUCGGUACGGCGAAUCUUGGUAGAUGGUACUAUAUUGGUAGCAUUAGAAUAUUGUUUAUUAUCUAGUAAUUUUAACAUACAAGAAUUUUGAUUUUAAAGAUGCUUUGUCGAGUGCUUAAAUAGUUUUAAGUUGGUUUCUAUGGAUUGUUUUAUAUUUUACAAAAGUUUUGGAUAUUAUUGUAGGAUGUCCAUGCACCUAUUCUUGGCCUUCUUGGAGCUAAAAUCAUAGUAAUUGCUCUAUUUGUUGGUUUUGCUUUGACGAGCAUUGUGAGUUACUUCUCUACCUUAUUCCUAUAUGUGAUCAUUUUACUGCUGAUAAUCUUUAACUCUUAGUCUUUUUGUUAUACUUGCACUAUCAGUUAGCCUAAAUGCUGCUUGAAUUUUGGUGACCAUUACAGACCCACAUCAUGAAAUAUAAUUUCUCUGUCUUUCUUGAAAGAUUAAUUCCUUAGUUUACUAUUUUAUUUUUCUUUGAAACGUCAAUUUUUAAUGGCUCUGUUGGUUCAGCUUACUUGCUUCUGAAAAGCUGCAUUGCAUCUGGACUUCCAUUUCUUUGAGUUUAAUAUAGUCAAAUUAAGAAGGUGCAACUUCUGCUACAACCGUCUGCUAUACUCCUGAUGUUAAAACAUUUGACAAAUAUUGCAUUUUGCAUAUAACCUUUUUUGUCAUGCCAGUGCAUGUUAGCUUGCAAUCAUGUUAAAAUCUGUAUGUGUUAAUUUUCUUAUCGUCAUUAUUAUAUGGAGCACUUCUCAAAUCAGUUUUACAUAGUUCAUUGCUUCAUUUAUUAAUACUUGUAAGGAACAUUUCUGUUUUAGAUUUUCCACUAUUACCUAAUUCUCCAUGUUGAUUAUCCAUUUCACAGUACCUUUUUCUUUCUUUCCUUUUUUUUCCUUGCUUUCUUUUGUUGUGUUAUAGAAUAAACAUCAUCUACAUCUUCUGAUAUUAAUGGAUUCUAUUCAUUUUCCUGAAUUUUCCUUGUUCAUUGUUAAAAAGCUCAAAUUGUUUUGGUAAUGUGCUAAAAAAACUUUGUGUAUUCUCAUAGAGUAGUAAUCGGCUGGGAAAAAAGCAAUAUAUAUUGAGCCAAGGCAAUAAGGUCAACUUUAGAACCAAGUUUUCAAAAGCACAUUGAAGCUAAAGAUAGAACAAAACAUCUAUGUGAUAACUAUGUUUCUCUAGGAAGUAGAUCAGUCGGUAUUGUAUCCUAGUGGCAGUGGGUAUGUGGCGGCAUUUUUGAUUGAAUGCUAUGGCUUGAUGGGUUUUGCAGUUAUUGCUCCUUCGAAUUGAUGACAUGUUGGUUUAGAAACAUAUGGUUACCUCUAAGUCUAGAUUAAGUGACAAUGCACGACUUGAUUACUUGUAAUAAUAGGAGAGGGUAGAUGCUACUUCUCUCAGUAUGUUGAAUAGUACUUAAGCUGAAGAAACAUUAAAAGCUCAACAAUCAGCCAUUUGAUUUCUAUGACCUGAUCUUUAGAUAAGAUAUGUUCAUUUUAGCUUUUAUAUUUCAAGAUGCACUAUAGUAUGUGAGGACCUAUUCGGACAUGUGGUGAGUCCCACAUUAGCUAUAUAGUCCCACAUUAGGUACUUACAUAGAGCCAAGAAAUCUAAAUAAUACCUUCCGACUAGCUUUUUUGGAUUAGAUCCUAGGUUGUAACAAAUGGGUAUCAGAGUGGACCAAAACCAUUGUUCAUAUGGACUAGGAGACAUUGCAACAUGGACCUUCCGACUGCUAAUCAUGGUAUUUAUGAUUGGAUUUGAAUGGACCUGGACCCUUAGCUCGAUGAGGAAUUGAGGAUGCUAGGACUUAAAGGAGGGAGUAUGUGAGGACUCGUGCCGGGUGUGUUUACUUCCAUAUUGACUAUGCAGUUAUAGAUCUUGGGUACUUAUUUACGGCCAUAGAACCCAAAUAAUACCUUUUGGGCUAGUCUUUUUAGGCGAGGUCCUAGGUUAUUACAAAUCUCUAAAGAAAUAUCAGGGAUUGAUAAAAAUAAGUCCACAUUUCACUAUGACGAAGACAACAUUAGUAAGGUUUGACUAUAUUUAUAGUUGUUUGGCGGUGCCAUCUACUUGACAUAUUAACAUUUGUCAUACCUUUGUCAUGUUUAGUUAGAAACAUCAAUAGACUAUGUCAUACACUAACCUGGCAAUGCUUAUGCAACUAGUGAUUCUUUCACAAUAGAAUAGUGGCACGUUGUUACACUAGGUGAAAAUACGAAGAAGUGAAAAGAGCAUUCUAACUUAGUCCCUCACAAAAAUUCUUUGGAGGGAAUGGGAAUGGAAAUGGGUAGGGUACAAGAAACAUUUGCCUAUCCGUAUCCGAACCCAUUGAAAAUCCUACUACCCAAAACUGCCCCAACUCGACUAAAAAUUUACCCUAAAUUUCCAAACCCAUCCCAUCAAAAAAGGCUAAAUCCGUUGGGCACCCGAAGCUCCCAAUUAAUCAUUAUCCAGAUUGGGUUAUUUGGGUCGGAUUAUUCGGGUGGGGAACCCGACUGGAAAUUAUAAAAAAUUAAAAAGGUUGGGGAAGAAUAUCAAGUAAAAAUGGCUACAAUAAUUAGGCAAACAAUCUAAAUAUAAAAGGGCUUUGGAGCUUUUUGAUAAAGGUAGAGGUUAGAUAUCCUUGAGGUUUGGGGUUCAAGUCCCCUCACAAUAUAUAUACUUUUAUAAAUUUUUUUAAUAUAUAUAUUAUAUAUCAUCGGGUUUGGGUAGUGAGUAUCCGAGGGUCAAGUCCCAAACCUGUCCCAAACUCUAACAGAUUUUAACUUUAACUCCCAAACCCUAUAGCGUUUUGCUAAAUGGGUCCUAUUAGGGUUUUGGGAUGGGUCGCAUAUCCAAAUAAACCUGCAUGGCUGCCAUCCCUAGGAGAGGGGAGGGUGAGGGUGGAGUGGUGAGGGAGCGAAUCCAUCCACUAAAAUGGACCACAUGAGAAUUCAAAGAUUGCAAGAAGUAGGACAUUUUAUUUGAGUAGAAGCAGCUUUGUACCAGUUAGACAAUACAAAACUCCAAAACAAAGUUCGUUGUACUGGUACUAGAUGGCGUACUAGUUGGUGACCGGUAUGGUAACAAUUCGAUGCCAUACCAACAUAUGGUACGGUGUAAGGUGUUGAUCAUCUGACUUUACGCUAUUUUCAUUAUUUUUUUAUUUUUCAAUCUAUUUUUGUUUUGAGUUAUUAUUUUCGUCAUUAUGGUUGUUUAAUUUAGGAUUUUGAUGUUGUUUUGAUAUCUUUCAUAUCUUUUUUGUCAUCAAAUGGAUUUGAAGUAUAAUUAAAGUACUUAUAAUUGACUGUAUGUACAAUAUAACAAGUGGAAUCCAUUUAAUGUACUUAAAGUAGAAUUUGCAUAUCGAUAUCUAAAAUUUGUGGAGUGUCUAUCUCUUGUAGAUGUCGGAGUUGUUAUCAUAAUUCGGGCCUGGAAUAUUACACCAAGUUAAUAAUCUACCUCAUUUUCCUACAUCCCGUAAUCUAUACUUGCUGGAUGGCCACUCUGAUACUGAUCUCUGUCUGAUACUGGACUGGCCAUCCGAAGAUCAUGAUAGCAAAAUUUGAUCCAUCAGGUGCCUAAGGCAAUGGGGUUUAGUACCACUCGAAUACAAUGCCUCAAAUGAAGUUUAUCCAUGCAGGUCAUAAACUGACUGUGUGGAUUAGGAUCCGAUGUACAAGUCAGAUCCAGACAUGUUUAGAGACCCUACUCCACGUGCCAAGUCAACUGUAGCAAUGGUGUUAUGUCCCAAGUGACAUCGAGGGGCCCAUCUUCUAGAUGCAAUGGUAUCCUCAAAUGCUCAAUCAGGUUGUGCAUCAUGGUCCCUAUCGUAUGUGGCAUGACUAAAUUCGGACUAGCUGGUGAAUCGGAGAUCUUGGGACUAUAAGUCAUAUACAACCAUGCCAGUUCCACCGCUACCUCUCUGGCUACCAGAUGCAUCGUUCGCUUGAACUAUCAUUUUAAUCCUCACCGGUAUCGCAAAAAGAUCUGGCAACCAAUCAUUUUGAGGGCUAACUAGUUUUCGUAUAAGGGCGAAUAGACUCCUCAUCCACUCUCUCCAAUGGAAUUGCAGUUUUCGAUCCUUUCCUUUUCUUACUAGAACUAUCGUCAUCAUCACUGGUGUCACAAGAUAAUCUGGGCAAUCGAUCAUUUAAAACAAGGAAUGUUGAACCGGCCUGUACCAGCAAUGUUAAAAAACAUUGUCGGACGGUACCGGCCGAACUGUAAUGGCCCGAACCGGUCCGUACCAGUUCCAAAUUUUUUUGGGCUUUCAGAUGCAUGAACCAGGCCGAACCGGUUUGGCGAUCCUUGAUUUAUGGGUUCGUUGAUCUGGGAAUCAUAGUAAGAAGACUCCUCAUCCAGUCAUUACAGUGAAAUAACAGAUCAUUUUCCUUUGUAUUUCUUACUGAUCUGAGGAGCUGCCUUUUUCCUUGGAUGCCUCUGCCUGAGUGGCCACCACUUACCUGACUGGGUCCACCGCCUUGAGUGGCUCUAUUUGCCUAACUAGAUUAGGUACAAUGAUGGUCUCUUCUUAACAUUCUCUAUUAAAGUACUGGGAGAAUAUCCCAAACAUGGUGCACUGCAAUGAUGAUUGACCCUUCCUGAACUCUAUUGUUGCUUGGCCGGAUGUGAGUAUGGCAUAUGUCGUUCUGCCUAUUGUUUUGCAUCCUCUCUAGAUUCCCUUGCUAUGAAAUUGGCUAGUUGAGAAGGUGAUACAGGCUCAUCAAGCUUUGGCUGCUACUACUAGCCUCAAGCCACCUAAUCACCGAAUCUUCCUCAUCAUAUGUAAAGAGGGCAUUAUACUACAACUCCACGUCCUCUUUAAUGUACUUUAAUCUGAGCCUUAGAUUAUAAUGAGCAUAUACUAGGUCCUCCAAGCACUUUUGUAUGAGGUAGUUCCUCUAUUUGGAAAAAAAAAUCAUUAUUUUAUUUUUAUUAUUCUUAAUCCAAAAAAUAUAUUUUUGUCUAAAAUUUAUGUAGUUAAUGAACAAUUAUGAUUUUGGCUGCAUUGCAUAGAUCAUCAGUAGAUCUACGGUAUAUCUUGAAAUCAUACAAAAUCCAAUGUUUUGGCAUGAUCUCUCAUUUUCUGCACUUUCGGCUAAUUUUCGACAUAAAAAAAAGGGAGGAUAGGAAUGGGUAGGGGGCACUUUACCUGAUUUUAGUUGGAUCCGAGCUGAAAUCCAUGAAUAUGAAUACUUUUCUCAUGUUUUUUUGUGUUGAAAAAUAUAAAAGACUCGUUUGGUUUGUGGGAAGAGGGGGGAGUGUGGUUAAUGGGAAAAUGAAGAAAUGCCUCAUGUUUGGUUGGAGUUUUCAAAGGAGAAAUGGGAAAGUAGCUUUUCCAUGGGGAUAAUAUUCCCACAUUUCAUGGGAAAGACAAACCCACGUGGGACAUGAGAAGCCCAAUUCCCAUCCAAUGGAAAUUGGAGGAUUUUUUUUAGAAGUACUCUUAAGCUUUUGGAUAGAAUGGUGUAAGGUUUUUUCCUUUAUUAAGGGCAUAACAAGUAUCUUACACAACUUGCCUAGGAAAGUAAAUACUCAACCAAAUAAAAGCCACUCUGGCAUGUGCCACUUUUUCAUGGUCAAACAAACAUGCAAAAUCCGUUUUUCCAGGUAUCAUAUACCCUGGAAUUAGCUUUUCAGAAAAAACAUUCCAGUGUGGGAAAAUUUUUCUUGUGAACCAAACGAUUUCAAGAGAGGUGGAGAAGGCUCAAAAGGCCUUCUUUGUCUCCCUCUCAAUUAGUUAAAAAUGAAUAGGGCCCGAACUACUAUGAACCAAGUAGAACCGGGCGGGCUUGCUUGGUUCGGGUUUGAAUCGAUCGGUCCAGGAUGGUACGAUUCGGUACGCUCCAAACAAGGUUGGAGGAACAAGUACCGGGCACCAUAUCGGCUCUGUGGCGGCACGAGUCCGUACAAGCCAUGUCGGGCCCAUGCCGACGAGUGAGGGCACGGUACCGUGGGAGAGGAAAAGAGAGAGGGAGAGGAGGAGGAGAGAGGAACCAUGGCGGACGUUGGCGGGGAGGGCCGACGAAAGCUGCGGCAGGCAAGGCCGCGGCCAGUAAAAUUUCGAGAUUUUUAAGUGAAGUCAGCAAGUGAUUUUCCGACUUCACUUAAAUUUUUUGAAUUUUCUUUGAAGCCGCAGUCGAACCCCUAUUUUGCGGCCUCACCUGCCGGCCCUCCUGACCUCUCCCUCUUCCUUCCUCCCCCGCUCGCUCUCUCUUUCCUUCUCCUCCGACUCAGACAACGUGUCUUGUUUCCGUUGUCGGAACCGUACCAGUGAGCUACUGGUACGGGUCGGAUCGGCUGGAACUAUCCGAUUUGGGAUAGUUCUGCCGACCGUGCUCCAAACUUUGUGGUUUGGGACGGUAUGAUGAAUGCUAUAAAUUUUUUACUUCAGUAUGUAAUGCCUAGAACAACGUUUUCAGCCUUUGUAUUUGAUCCCAUGCUGGUAGGUAGGGGUGGCAAUUAGGUUGGAUUGCGUUGGAUGGUGUCAGACAGGGGUCUGGACAAAAAUUUAUCAACAAGAACCCGACUUGUUUAUUAAGUAGGUCAAAAACCCUGAUUCGAACCCAACCUUUUUAUCAAACAUAUAAUCCAACCCGCAUAACCCAUUUAUAAAUGAGUCGAAUCAGGUUUAAUGGAUUAAAUAGGCUAAGUGAAUUUUUAUUGGGUUAAAUUGGUUUAAAAAUGGUUACGCUGGUUGGGUUAAAUAGGUUAGUAGGUUUUAAAUGGGUUAAAAAUUUGAGACAUGAUCCGACCCAAUAAUUAAAUAGGUUAGAGGCAUGGUAGAUUUCAUCACUCCAACGAUAAAUCAUCCACAAACGAUGCAAAACCGGCCCGUACUGGCUGGUCCAGCGGUGGAAAAUGGUACCGGCCCAUACCGGCCUGAAAAAAUAACAAGAAAUUAUAAUAAAUUUUGUUCGAAGGAAUCUAACUUUAGUAGCUCUCCAAAUGUUGGAUGCGAUCUAAGAAAGUAUAUAAAAUACUUCCAACAAUUAUACUAUGAAAACAAAGACUAAUUCUAGAUUAUGUUGAGAAUUCUAUUCUUGCAUCUAGCCACACUCCCAUAAUGGUGUCCCUUUAGUCACCAAUACUUUGAAUCUAUAAAGAAUAAAGAGACUAAAUAAUGAGCUCGACUACCUAGUAAGUAAUGAAUACCUCAACUAGAUUACUCGAGUAAAAGAUUAGUAAAUUUCCCUUGCUAAUAUAAGCAUGCAUGGCAAACUAUUAUAUUUUUGUAAGAUAUUUAUAAUCAUAAAUAUUCAGGUUUGCUCAAGCAUUUGCGUAGAAACAAUUUUAAAAGACCAUAUUUCAACUCAAUAGGCUUUGAGACUAUGACCAUAUUUAUACCGGGUGAUAGGGCCAGAGAGCUGCAUUGAUAUCCUGUAUAGUGGGCUAGAAUACUACGCUUAUACCUUGCAGAGUAGGUUAGAAUUCUGUACUUAUACCCUACAUAGAAUGUUGUACUUAUACGCUGCUGUGUAUACUAUAACGGUAUAACCCAUGUCGUCUGGGUCCAAAACCUGGUCAGGUUGAGAGUCAAAUAUUUGAAACACGUCAAUGCUAUUUAUAAAUCAUUUAGAUGUCAAAUUAUAAGCAAAUGUGCACAUUCACAACAUUUGGUAAUAAAGUAAAAAUAAUAUUUUAUGUUACAAAUUUGUUUUCCGUUCAAAACAUAAUUUCUUAAAUUCAGAACUUGUAUAUUGGUCAAUUUAUAAUUUAUUUUAUAUCAAAUACUUAUUCAAAGGCAAAUUCAUAGAAAGCCCCAAAAAAAGUGAAUCAUUAUUUACAAUGCACACACUCAACAGACAACUCCAACUAAUCUUUAAAAAUAUCUCCAGGAUCAAAUAUCAAGAAUUAUAUUUUUAUCAAAAUUUGGUCGUGAUAAAAUUUAAAUAAAUUUUAAGUCUUGGAUAUGCUAGGACUUAGAUAAAACCUUACGAUUGCUCGAGUCCAACAAGAUCCCUGAGCCUCCAUGGAAUUGAGCAACUUCAAUAAUAUAUCACCUAGAAAUAAAUUUUGUAAAUUUAUUUAUUCAAAAUAGUAUAUCAUAAUAUUUACAGAAUUAAAUGCUAGUUAUCUUCUUAAGUUUCGAAUUUCAGAUUAAUAUUUUAUGUAAACUUUCUUGUUAACAGCUGAAUUAUUAUAUACAAAAGUUUUACUAAUAAAAAUUUAUUUAGUAGGAAAUAAUUACCUGAAACCUAAUUUACAGAAUUUAGAAUAUUAAAAUAUAAUUUGUCCAAAAAAUUAUGUAUAAUUUAAGAUAUUUAAAUAUAGUGUGUGCAGAAAUUUAGCAAUCAGAAGUUUUUUCUUGUAACUUUUUUCCCUAAUUAAUAUACUGAAUUUUCAUAAUUUUGUAAUUUAUUGUUGGAAUUAUAUAUUUGCCAAAAUUAAUCAGUAUUCACUUUGUUGUUGUCUUAUUAAACAGAAAGUAAUUUAUGGGAGUUUUAUUUUGAAUUACAGAUAUUUAAUAUGGAAUAAUCUACUACACAGAUAUUUGAAAACCAGAAAGUAAUUUUCGGAAUAUUAAUUUGCAGAUAUUAAGAUAGAUUUUUGUUUUACUGAAUUUAGUUAUUGUAGAAAUUAUUUUAUACAGGCUUUUUCUUCUUAAAAUUAGAUAAUUCAUAUACAUAGAAAUUAUUUUGAUAUUAAAAUAAUAUGGAGAGAAUGAAGAUUUUGUUGUAGAAGUUUACAAGAAGUUGGGAUCAAUGUGUGCACAGGAGAAAGAGAGAGAAGAGGGAUGAUAUGGCUGCAUUCCUUGCAAGGGAAAGAGCGAGGAGAGGAAAAUCUUGCAGGGUUCUCAUGAGAGCAGAAGAGGGCAAUGGUGUUGAAUCUCUUGAGAGAGGGAGAGAUGCGAUUGGAAAGGAGGUGCUAGUGCUGUUUUCUCACAAAAAAGAGGGAGUGAUAAGGGGAGGAGCAUGUGAUUUAAACGGUACAAGACGCUUCUAAACUGAGUAACUCGGUUUGUCACAGAACAAAUCAGAGAAUGGGGGUGUGAGAUCAAUAUAGUAGUGGACCCCACCUAAACUGAGUUGAACUUGGUUGGAGUUCCUGCCUUUUUUAUUGGAUACUGCAAGUCGGCAAAGAUUGUUUAUGACAACCAAUUAUACUAAACUUGAACAUACUUAAAGCAGUCGAACAAGUACUGGGUGUCGUACCGAUCGGUGCUUGGUACGGUUCGAUACCGGUUCGGACCGAACCAAACCGGUAUGAACCGGUUGGGCGUGCCGGUUGACGCACCAACAUGCCCUAAAUUUUUUUGUGGGAGUUCUUUCUCUUUUCGAACUUUUCCUAUGAAUUUAAGUAUAAUCUGAUAUUUUUUGAUAUUUUCUUGAUACUUUUUUGAUUUUUUUUUAUGUUUUCAUGAUCUCGGUUUAAGCUAAAUGAUGCAUUUUAUUACUUUAAAAUGAUAUAAAUCAUAAAAUGAACAACAUAAAAUAUCUUCAAAUUAAGAUACAAUCAAUUGCAUACUUUUGAAGUCCAACAAACAUACAUAAUGAUAUCUAAAAUCGGAUUGAGUAGCGAUGCCUCUCGUAGAUAUCCGGAUCAUCAGCAUAAUCAGGAGGCACAUCAACCCAUCUCUCUAUCCAAGUGGCGCUAUAGUCUUGUAUGUUCAUCCCAUAAAAAACGUGCACCAGAUUAUAAGCACUCUCAGAUCUCUCGCUAAAGCUCUAGCUCUGAAAGAUGUUCUCUGGCUGAUAAUACGGCUUUGGAGGGGCCCAUCCAAAUAUUUCGGCAGCAAAAUCCAACCCGUAAAAUGCUCCAGACUGCGUAGGAUAGUAGCCGUCGGAAGAUGCCUCAAACGUACCAUAUCCAUAUCUAUAUCUAUAUGGGUCAUAGGCUGUCUGUUGCAGUGGAUAUAAUAGGAUCCAGUAUAUAACUCUGAACCUGAUACGUCUAUGGAUCCUACUCCACGUGAGGUCAUCUGUAGUUGCAUUAUGUCCUCCUGAACGACCUCGAGGAGCCCAUCUCUUAUAGGCAAUCGUAUUUUUGCAGACUCUACCAGAUCGUGAACCAUGGUCCUGAUCCUGUGUAGCAUGCGUAAACUGGGACUCAUCGGUGUAUUGAAGACCACCCUCCAGUUGUAUCUCAUAAAUUGGGACUCCUCCACUCUCUCUAGUGCCAGCAGAUCCAUGAUCACCAGAAUCGUAAUCAAUACUGCUCAAGGACUCCUCGACACUCUCUAUUGGGGCUGCAGGUGCCUUUUAUUUUUCGUUUUUGGUCUGCCCUAGCCUUGUGGGCUACGAGGCUAGCCAGUUGUGGAGGCGAUCUUAGCUCAUCAAACUUCGGCUCCUCCUAUUGGCCCAUAAGACAUUCAAUCAUAGGAUCAUCGCCAUCAUCAAUGAAAGCACUAUGGAUUAGAUCUGCAUACUUAAGCUCCACGUCCUCCUGAAUGCACUUUAGCCUCAAUCUUAGAUUUUAGUGAACAUAUACAAGGUCGUUGAGGCGCUUCUGUGUCAAACAGUUCCUCUACUCGCCACAUAUCCUAUUUCUUAUCCUUCUUCAGCAUUGAGUCAACCCUUUGCUGCUUCGAAUCUUUGCUGAAAAAGGCAUGCAAAUCUAAAUCAUGGGUUGCUGCUCCUGGUGGAAUCUCUCUAGAUGACUUCUUUUUACUACCAAAAGCCUCCAGUAUAGAUGCAAUCCGACCACCACUUCUGCUGACGCCCUUCCUAACUGAGGAGGUCCUCGUGAACUCUGGAUAUGGCACGCUGCCCAUAGAACCAGAGCCCGACUCGUAGAAUGAGGGCCCAAAUCGAGUCCUAUGCCUGGCCAUCUUCUUCUGCUACCACUGAUCAUCCAGGCUCGUCUGCAUAGUAGUCUAGAUCUGUUUCUCCUCAUCAUUUGGAGCGGACACCUCCUCUGACUUCCUAGAGUGAUCAAAAGGUGGUUUUGCCGCUCGGUAUUCCACCUCCAUCUUCUUCUUGGUAGCCCUCUCCUUCGCUUCUUUAAAAUCAGCGAGGUUCUUCUUCAUCAGCUGCUGAAACUCCUGUAGGCAUCUGCGGCACAUAGAUAAGUCACCGUAAUCACCAGCUAAGUGCUGCUUCAACCUAGUUACCCCUCCUCUGAACUCUUGGUUACACCAGUUGCACUACGACUAGCAUUGGCCCGAGAGCAUUCUCCCAUGCUCCUAGCCAAUAUCACGCUCUGGGUUCUUUUUUCUUGAUGGCUCCAUUUCUUCACCCGGUUGAUCAAGUAUGCCAGUAUAUCAGUUAUUUAAAAUUAGCAAAUUAUUAAUACGAGGAUGAUAAUUUUUUUACCCCAGAUAAUAUAUCUGAUUUAUCUAAUACAUAACUUUAAUUUAUUUAUUUAUAUAUUUUAAUAAUUUCUAGUUUAACAUAAUAUUUGCAUAGCAUAAAUUUAGAAAAAUAUGAUUUCUACCUCAAAAAUUACUGCUGAAUUAUGUAAUACGUACUACUAAUUUUUCAUAAUUUUUUGUAUCAAUUAUAUAUUUUAAAUUAUUUUUUAUAUUUAAAAAUAAUUUUUAAAUAAUAAUAUUUCAAAAUUUUAAUUUCAUCUCAGAUCGAUGUAGACCCUAAUAAUGGAUGCUAUAUAAGUAUAUAUUUUUUUUAGACUCUCGGGCAUGCAAAAAGAUUACUUAUUUUUUAAUUCUUUUCAAAUUUAGGCCUAGGCUAUUGUGCGCAUGAUCGCGUCAAAACUUAGAUGAAUAGACACCAAAUUUUUAUAUAGAGUAGCUUGUAUGCUCCUAAAUAUGUUUCUAAUUUAACAUUUUUUAAAAAAAUAUAUUUAUCUUUUUUAAACCAAAAAUAUAUUUAUAAUUUUUAAGAAUUAUAUAUAAUCUAAAAAUUAAAAAAUUUUAUGUCAUAAUAUACAUCAUCCAUAGAUCUACGAUAUAUAAAAAAUCAAGCCCAAAACAAAAAAUUUGGCAUGAUCUUUCUUAUUUUGCAAUUUUUGAGCUAUUUUUUCAAGUUCUCUAUAAAAAAAAAGAAGAAAGAAAAUAGGAGAAAGGAAGCACACCUUAUUUAGACUUGCCUCUUUUGAUAGCUUGAAUCGAUGUUGUUUGUGGAAUUUUUCGAAAAAAAACUAUUUUUCGAAAAAGAAACUUAGCUGCAUAAGUUCGGGAAGGCCUUCUUCGGCCUUCCCUUUUAGGGGCAUUCGGCUUUUCAGCUUUAAAAGCCGAAUGCCAGGCUACAGCCACAACCACAACAGACGAAUAAUUUAGCACCGAGUCCAAGAUGAACUAGUUGGAGCUAACCGGUUCCGACUAAAAAUUACCGAUUUUGGCCAAUAUUAUUGAGGUUUCAGAACCAUUUCUCUAUUGCGAACCGACCCAGUCUGAGGCCAGAUUGGCUCGGUUUGGCCUGAACCGAGCAGUACGGCCUAGUUCGGCAAUCUUUGGUUGUGGAUCAGGUCAUAAUUUGCCACCCCUAUUAGUAGGUCAAAUCACAUGGCAAUUGCAUGCUGCUAAAGGAGAGACAACAGUUUUGCUAGGUGUUGAGACAAGACAAUAUUGAGGUAACAUACCAUAAAGGUACCUAAUUGGGUUGUAUGGUACACCCGAAAGUAGGCUAUAUGCGUUGGCUAUAUGCGUUACUAACUCAUAGCUUUCCCUCUCGCUUCUCUUUUUUCUUGUCCUUUAGUUUUACAUAUUUUUAAUUUUAAUGUUUGCUUACUGUUGUCCCUUAACUAAAAUAAAAUAAUCAGAAUAUUUCAUUUACUUUGUGGAAAAAAUAAGCAAUCAUGAUAAAGAAUGAGUCAGUGUUUUUUCUACCAAAAAGAAAGAAAGAAUGAGUCAAUAUACUAUAAUUCAUUCAAUUUUGUACCAAAGAUCUUUAUUUCCAUUUUUGGAUACUUAUGAAUCUAUAUGUGUUUACACUUUAUUUGAAGCAUGGAACGUUCUUUAUCCUAAGAUCUUAGUUAUAUACUUGUUCUUUUGAAUCUAACAGGCAUUAUGUACUAGACUUCAACCUGGUUUGGAGCAGAAAGUUGUCCUUCCCAGAGAUUCAUAUCUUCAGGUUUGCUUUGAAGGAUCAGUGAUUUUUGUACCUUAUUGUUCUCUAAGAAAGACCUUUGCUGAUCAUUUUCAUGGGUACUUCUGUAGGAUUAUUUUGAUGAUCUUGCAAAGUAUCUUAGAGUGGGACCACCAUUGUAUUUUGUUGUAAAGGACUUUAAUUACAGGUACUAACAAGCAUUACUGUGUUUGACACAGUUGCUUUUUAAAUUAAAUUACUGUUCUGUGCUAUGCUUAAUUUAUAUCCAUAAUUCUUUUUAUCAUCAGUCUGUCAUAACAACACCUCUAUAUUGGUUUAUGGUCACCUCACUCAAUGCUUCCCUCUUUCCAUAUUCUUACUGCCUCUUGCUGGCUAGGAAUAAAAAGAUAACCACAAUUCCACCAAAUAACUUUAUGAUCAAAUCCAACACAGGUUGGCUGCUCCUAGCAGAACUUCAAGAACUUAUACAACUACUUUCUCUACUAGUAGGAAGGCUUCCAUGAAUAUUUGAGGGAGAAUCGACAUUUUCAUGUUUGUUUUGUUGCGAACUUUUAACCUCACGUCAAAUCCUAUCUAAGUGUUGACUGCUUGUCAUACGUAAGACUGAGUUUUAUACAUAACUAUAAAAGGGAAAUGGACCAUACGCUUGACACUUAACUUUAUUGAGCAUGCCUUUCAUGUAGACUUUUUCAUGAUGUUCUUCAUUAGUUUAAAAUUGGACAUGAAAAACUAUCCAAUUUACAAACUAUCUUAUAACUUAAAUUAGCAAUAUAAUGACCUACCAUCAAACUAUUCAGAAUAAUCCACUAAACUUGGUCUUUUCUUCCAGCUUGGAGUCAAGACAAACAAACCAGAUAUGCUCCAUCAAUCAUUGUGAUUCAAACUCUCUCUUGAAUGAGGUAGACCACAUCAUUGUCUUUAUCCAGACAUUCUAAUCAAUAUUUAGAAGGCUUUCCUAAUUGUUAUUGUCUACCAUACUGCAUGUUUAUAAAUAUACAUUAUUCUUCUUUCAGAUUGCAAAAGCAGCAUUGAUACCUGAGUCAAGUUAUAUUGCUAAGCCUGCUGCUUCUUGGCUUGAUGAUUUUCUUAUAUGGCUAUCCCCAGAAGCAUUUAGUUGCUGUCGCAAGUUUGUGAAUGGGAGCUAUUGCCCCCCUGAUGAUCAGGUCUAGCAGCUUUUCAUCUUUCCUAAUCAUGUAAAAUUGCACUUUGAAUUCUAUCCAUUGAUAUCCUAAAAGUACAUUUAAGCAAUGCCUCUCUUGCCCAUUAAUAUGUUAUUUGAGCUAGAAGCUUUGAAAUUAUUUCCUUUGCUUUGCAAACGAUAUUUCUGUUUUGGAAAACUCAUUGCAUGAAUGAAAGAGGAAGUAUGGCUAUUUAUGAUUUGGAGAAAGCAAUGAAUUAUAAAACUGAAAAAUUCCACGUAAUUUUUCCCAUGAACUGCUUUAGUUAUUUGGAACUCAUCCUCUCAAGCUUAUUUUGUACUCAAGAGCUCUUAAUUGCAACAUGUGAAAAUAAUUAUUAAAGAAAAUAUAUUAUAAUUUUCAUGGGUUAUGGUUUGCUGGUUUUAUUUUGGAUUCUAUGAAAAAGUAGUUUCACUAGCAUUAAUAAAGGCUAUAAUACUCUUAGCAUGUUUACUGAAACUUUCAUUUGUUUCAUUACUAGCCUCCUUGCUGUCAGCCUGAUGAAGGAUCAUGUGGCAUGGGUGGAAUAUGCAAAGAUUGUACCACGGUAUUAUAUCUUCAGAGUUCUAUGUGUUGUUGGUUGUUCUAUAAUUAUUACAUAUAAAGUGUAAAUAUUAGCCUGCUUGGACUGGAUGUGUCCCUAUAUGAAAUGUAAUUAAUAUAUAUUUACUUCAAUUAAAAGGGGUGCAGUUUUCUUUCUUAUAGCUACGGCUUUUGAGUGCAUUAACUGAUCAGAAUGUGUAAUUAAAUUAUGUAUAAUUUUUUAUGCUUUAUUUUUCCUAGUGGUAUAUGAAUUAAUAAUAAAAAAAUUUGAGAAAACUAACUAUAUCUUUUGUGGUUUUAGUGCUUCCAUUAUUCAGAAUUACAUGAUGGUCGCCCUUCUACAGUACUGUUCAAGGAAAAGCUCCCAUGGUUUCUCAAUGCAUUGCCAUCCUCAGAUUGUGCUAAGGGUGGCAAAGGAGCUUACACCACUAGUGUGGAUCUCACUGGUUUGUAUCAUGUUCCGUGCCCUUAUUGUAACAUACAAUAAUAUAAUGGUGAAUAUUUAUCCAUCAUGAACAUAAAAUAACAAUCAAUUUCAUGUUGUUAGGAUAUGAAUUAGUAGGUUCAUUAUAGUCAAACUUGACAGUUUGUCCAUUUCAUAGGUUACGAGAGUGCAAUUAUUCAAGCGGCAUCAUUUCGUACAUAUCAUACUCCCCUUAAUAAACAAGUAAGACAAAAACACCUCUAAUUAAAUAUUAUUAGUUAUUACUAUAUCAUAUCUAACCUUGUGCUUCUAAACUGACAUGAUUUGGUUGGGUUCCCCUCAGAGUGACUAUGUGAACUCAAUGAGAGCUGCCAAGGAUUUUAGUUCCAAAAUUUCUGAUUCUUUGAAGGUAUGGUGGAUUUUAUUAUUUUCUUAUUAGUGACGUGACAUCUUCCUUAUCAUUUUAUAACCAACAAGUUUUCCAUAGCACAUAUUAUUUUGGUAGAGUAGGAUAAAACUGAUCUAAAAUCCUAGGAAAUUUAUAUCGUUGAAUGGAUGCAUGCUUAUGAUGAACUCAAAUAAGAAUUUUCUUAAGGUCGAGGUUCAAAUUUUGGUUUCCAAGCCCCGGACCAAAACAUUUGGGAGACCUCAUGAAGCACAGUUUACAAUUGUAAUUUGUAAAUGUUUAUAGAAUAGAUUAUCUAACACGUAGAAAAAAAAACUAUAGCAGCAUAAAAGGAAUAUCAGCUUUCAUUUUCAAAAAUGCUAUGAAAUUUUAUGAACCAGUAUAUAAGAUGAAAGCUAGCAGACAUCAUGUUAGACUAUAAUAACUUAUUCUUAAUUCUUAAAAAUCUGAAACAUAUCACGAUGUGAUUGUGUCUUAGUUAUAGAUAUUGUUAUUGACUUCCCUUUUUUAAAUUACCUUAUAGUCUAUAUCAUAUCAACUCGAUUAAGAACUCUAGAUGUAGCCAAAAAAAGGCUAUGAUAGAAAUUCAAUUAGAAUGAUGAAAUUAAAAUUGUUCAAAGUAGGAAUUUUACUUUUCAUAUAGUUUUAAGUUUUAACUAUUUGUGGUCCAACUUGGGUAACUUUACAAAUGUAAGAUAACUUGUACAGACAUAACUAGUAUGACAAAAGAUGGCAAAAACAUAGUUUUACCUUAAAUAUCUGGAACCUAAGUCUUUAGUUUUUCCAAACCUUCUUGAAACUUGCAAACCUAUGUCUCUUUGCAAGAAUGCUUCAAUUCUUGCAACCAAACCAUCUGCUAGGAUCCCCCUCAAUUUAUUUUUAGAAGAAGAAAAAAAAAGAAAAAAAAAGAAAGAAGAAGGGAAAGCCCUAGAUUUUGGUACUAGUCAUCAUGCAUCUUAUUUCGUUAAGAUUUUGGUACUAGUCAAUAAUGGUUGCCAUGAGACCAAGCUUUGUUCUAGAUAGAUUAUGGUUAACAUUAUCUAGUGCUAGGUUAUUGGUAUAUUCCUAUUUUGUUGACAAUUUUAUGUACUAUGGAAAUACAUGUGUAUACUAUCAUUAAUUCUUAAUAUAAACCUUAAUACUAUAAUUUUGUGAGUUGUUCUUUGGCAUGCAUACAUCAAUUGAAUUUCAUAUAAAGAAAUGGUUUGAACCAAGGUCCGCCACGCCCCCGGGGGUUCCCCCGUCCCCUGCUAGGCUCCGCCGCCCCUCUGCGGCUCUCCGAUGGCGGCCACAAGUCUCCUCCCUCCCUCUCUUCCCCACCCUCUCUCUCCUUCUCUUCGCCUUCUUCAUCUCCGGCACAGAACUGGCCUGUACCAGUUUCCACGGCUCCGGCGUACCGGUAGCUAGCCGGACCGGUUCGUACCGGCUAGUAUGGGCCGGUUCGGCAUACCCUGGUUUGAAUUGUUGUACAUAUGAUUAUUCUACUCUAGAAACUUGAAAUUACUAGCUACCAUGUUAGAAAGCCGAUUGGAGACUCAACUCAUCAAGGUCGAGAUCGGCCAAGUCAGGCCAGAGUUCUCAAAAAUUAGUUCAAAUGUUUGAGAUUGGCUAAAAUGGUCCAGAUUAACUAAAAUGCUUUUAGAGAUAAGCCAAAAUAGAGCAAUGGGAAAAUGAAGCUAUAAUGCCAUUUGAGAUGAAGCCACAAAGAUAGGUUGAUGUAAAACCAUAAUUCAUAUAGAAAUGAGCUGAGAUAAAGCCAAAAUAUUGAUAGAGAUCGAUUGAUAUAAAAAGCCAUAGAGAUAGACCGAGAUAUUGCUAUAGAGAUCAGAUAGAAAUAGCCUGAAAUAAGGCUGAAGUAAAUCCAGAAUUUUGUAGAGAUAGGCUGAAUAAAGCUAGUGUUCUUGAGGUCGGCUUAGUGAAGCCAGAAUGCCUUUAGAAUAUGCUUGAAGUAUUUAAGAUCAUCCUAUCAAAGACCAAGAUAGUAGACUUCAGUCCUCGGAGGCCAUCAGGCCUUGAGAGAUAUUUGUAGUACCUGUCCUCAGUUCUCGACAUUGUUCGGCCAAGGUAAACUGUGGUCCUUUUGAGGUGGCCAACGGGCCUUAAAGGAUGUAGUAGCUAUCCUCUAUUCUCGACGUUGUCUUGUCGAGGUGGACUGUUGUCUUGUCGAGGUGGACUGUAGUCUUCCAAGGUGGCCAACGAGCUUUUUUGGGUGGCGUACAGGCCUUUUUGGAUGGCCAUGGGCCUUCACCCUCGGUUCUUGGUGUUGUCCGACUGAGGAAACUUACAGCCCUUUCGAGGUUGGACUAUGGUCCUCUUUGAUGGCCAACGGACUUUUACUACUAGUUCUUAGCGUUGUCCAAUCAAGGUGGACUAUGGUCCUUCCGAGGUUGGAUAAGGGUCCUCUUUGAUGACCCAUGGACAUUUAUCGCUAGUUCUUAACGUUGUCCAAUCAAGGUGGACUAUGGUCCUUCUAAGGUUAGAUAAUGGUCCUCUUUGGUGGCCAACAAGCCUUUACCAUUGGUUCUUGGCAUUAUUUGACCAUGGUGGACUACGUUUCUCCAAGGUUGGACUAUGGCUCUCUUUGGUGUCCAAUGGACCCCUAAUCGGCUGGGUUCUUCUGAAGUGCUAACACCCGGUUGAUUAGGCCGAAUAUAUCUUCUCUCAUCCAAGCCUAGGCCCAGCUAUGAUUUUUCUAAACAAAGUUAUCUCCGCCUUCAAGCUUGGUAGCUUUUGUGAAUGCAUGAAACCUAUGGCGUUUUGGCCCUUCAGGUCAGUUAUUAGGGAGGAACUAAAACACAAUUUUCAUUAAUGGUUAGUAACAAGGAUACAAAAUCCAGUGUGAUGGUUCUUACUGAUGAUGUGCCUUAAGGCUGUCAAUGUUUUCAUGUUUGAGGUAUGGAUACCCCUCCGAACUUCUCAGGCUUGGUUAUUUGGCAUAAGUUCUUCGAGUUUAGUGCAAGGCUUCCACUCUCUUCUAAUUCUAUGGCUUCCUCUUUUCAUUGAGCUGAUUCUUCAAUCUGAACUAUUUGAUCGCUAGUUGAAGGGCUGGAUCUUUAAGCAAUGAGUCCUUUGGAGUUAGUGGCGUUACCUCAGUAAGUGGUCAAUUAUCUUGCCUUUCAUGGAUUUGCCUGUUUUGACCAAUGUUUCUCUGAUCAUCUGUGUCUCGGCCGAGGUACCCUCAUUGAAUGAGGGUCACAAUCUCAUCUUUUAGCUGUACGCAAUCCUUAGCAUUGUGGCUAUGAUCGUUGUGGAACAGGUAGUAUCUUCUUAUGUCCCUCUUCUCAACAAAAGUCUUCAUCUUUCGAGGCCAGCUCAAAUUCCUCUAAUCUUGAAUGUCCAUCAAGAUUUGGUUUCUUAGAGCAUUAAGAGAAGUGUACCUCUUGAACAUCCAAGAUGGACUCCUCGGUCGAGCGGUGCUCCUUUCUUCUCGAAUUUGUUUUCUUCUCGGCUCGCCAUUCUCUUUACCACUCUCGUGUGUCUUUCCAUUCUUUCCUCCUCCCACCUCUUUCUGAGUAGCUAUGGCUUGCUCAACAUGAGUGUAUUUAUCUGUCUAUGAUAGGAGUUCGGCCAAAUCUUUGUGAGGCCUUUUCUCGUGCAUGAAGCUGAAGCAUGAGCCCUUCAGACUAUUUAUUACUGUGGCGACUGCAAUUGAGUGGACCAACUCGCGUACCUCCAUCAUCUCAAUGUUAAACUAGCUAAUGUAGCUUCGGAGGAACUCAUCUUUCCUCUGCUUGAUAGCAAAUAAGAUGGUCGAAGUCUUCCUCUGCCUUCUAUUACUGAUGAUGUAGCCAAUAAAUUGGCGGCUGAGCUAAUCAGAGGAACUAAUCGAGCUUGGUUAGAGACUCGAAUAUAAGAGUUGAGUCACCUUCCUGAGAGUGGUUGGGAAGGCCCGAUACAUCACAGUGUCAGUUGCUCCUUAGAGUAGCAUGAGAGCUUUGAAGCUCUCAACAUGGUCCAUCGGAUCCCUGGUACCAUUGUAAUGGUCAAACUGGGGCAUUUUAAGCUUUUUCGACAAGGGCUCCUCCAUGAUUUCUUUAGUAUAGGGAGGCUUGCUCUUCAUCUCCAUGUAACCCCUUGCUUCAGGCUUUCACUCUUGUAAGGUUUUGAUCUUGUCUUUCAUCUCCUUAAUUUGCCGCUCGAGUUCCACCUCCCACUUGAAGACUUUUUUCGGCAGACAUAAAGAAGGAUUGUCGGGACUAGAAGCUAUAGUAGAGGGAGAGUUGAGGCAACCGCGCCUCUGGCCAACAUCAAGGUUCUUAGGAUGAGGGUGGUUGUUGUUUUGCGCUAGGCCAUCCUGAUGGUUCGACUGGUCAACCGGGGGGUUGACGACCUACUGCUACAUAUUCUGCAUCGCCAUUGUGAAACUUGCACUGCUUCAUGAGCAGGUUGAGCUGCUCAAUUCUUAUGGCUCCUAGAGUCUAUAAAGGUUGUUGAGGUCUCUGAGGGAUAUGUAGGGAGCCAUCAGAGUCCAGCUGGGUGGACACUUGACGGUUGUUCCUUUCUAAGCUUCAUGGCUUUUCUUCCUUUGUUCCCACAAAGGAUGCCAAUCUAUUGCGUUGAUCCUCAGAUUGAUGAUGCAGGCUGCCUCCAUGGAUCUGCAAGGCAAUAAAAGGGUUAGGUGACUCGCUAGAUUGGCUUUGACCGGGUCCUUCGAUGCUUAAGUCAAAGAGGAUUUUUUGGUGGGAAGAAAGGAAGUAGAAGGUAGAAAGAGCUUAGUAACAAUGAUUGUAAUAAUGUCAAAGGGCUCAUGGCAUUUUUAUAGAUGGGAUCUUGAAUCUUCUGCGAAUCGUAUCUUAAUAGCUUGGAGUUGUGUUGUACUUAUUUGGGAUUGUGAUAUAAUUGCCUAAAGAUUCAGUGCAACUGUGGGAGGUUAUUAUGGUAAUCUUCACUCCCGAUGUGAUGGAGAGGGCGCCUUUUUGCAUAGGGUGGAAAAAUCGUCAACCGAGGUAAGAGGAUUUGGUCAACUUAGGGAAGAUGCCGAGCUGAAGGUAUGCCAUUGACCUCGGUGAUCAUAUGGUCUUCUCAUCCUUCUCCUUGGCUUGAUCAAGGGAGACUUGGUUCGGCCGUGUAGAACACCACAUCAAUUAUGAGUUGGACCAAUCGGAUCAUGCCAUGUCACCAGGCUCAUUUUCCACUACAUUACCCUACUAUUCUCUAAGUCUAUAAUAUGCAUUAAUGGUAAUUAUUGUUUCUAUCAAAGGCUAGUUCAUGUACUAUGGAAAGACUUUGAAUUACAAAUCCCUACUAUUCUCCAAGUCGCUAAUUAUUUUAUUCAUUUUCUAGCAUUUCAAAUUUAAACACACCUUCGUCGUGGCAACACCUUUGGUUUGUGUUGCAUGUCAAACCAUCUCACUAACUUUCCCUCAACUUGUCUUAGUAAAAUCCAAUGGUUGUUAGUCUGCUCCAUAGUUUUAUUCUAAUCCGCUUUAACAUUCUAAGUAAUUUUGCUCCUAUCUAAUGCUUGGGGCCCAAUGGCCUUGUGAUUGCCUAAUAAUUUGUAUUGAUCAUAUUGCUUGUCAUGGUAUUUUUGAAUAUGAUGUCCUUAUAAUAUCGAUAUUUAUAUUACAUAACACUUAGAUCCAAGGUCUGCAAUCUUGGUACCGGAUACCGUAUCUACCUUAUCGAUUCAGUACAGUAUGGUACGGUUCGGUGCAGUAUGGUACGAUACGGUAUACUUCUAUGCCGAAAUAGUUCUCCAACUAUUUUUCUUAAUUUCCAUCUUAGUACGCACCUCGGUAUGCCUCGGUACAGGGCAGUAUGCCUUGAUAUGGGCGGUGCAAAGCUUGUACCGACUUGAAGGUGUGUUUUGUGCCGGUACGGUAUAGUAUUUAGAUCAUUUCAUCACCUCAUCCAUCUUGGUUUAUUGGAGACAACUUUUUUCAUAUAUUUUCAUUCUCUAAUAGGUCGAUCUAAGAUAAUAAAUGUACUUUCCUGCAAUUUUUUUAAAAAUUAAGUUUGACACAUGUGAUUCCUCUUAUAUUCUGAAGUUUCAAACCAAGUAAUUCGCUUUGCUUUUUCCAAACUAUUAUUUACAUGAAACUCACAUUGCAUAAUCAGUAUAACAUAUGCAUCUUAUCUUUUCUCGACAACUAACACUGCUAUCUAGCGAAUACAGACUACACAAGGUAGCCUCCUACAUUUUUGUAGGUACUGCACCUGGGCAUCUGUAAAUACGGGAAUUCAAAGCUGGCCAUGGCCUAUUCCAAGAGGAACUACCUGGUCUCUUGUUAAAUAGUUUUUGUACUUUCUAUUGCUCCUUCCUGCAUGCCUCUAACAUUGUUAUUGUACCAAAUUGAUGUUCCUUCUUUAUCAGGUCUCACUAAUUAACUACAACAAUAACCAUCUAGUGUUUUCCCACCUAUUAGGGGUUGGGUUUAAGGAUCCUCAUUCCCCAAAUAUUCCUAUUUAGGACUACCUAUGAUAUUUUAAAUUUCAUAUCCUUCCUCACAACCUCCACCCAUGUCGCCGUAGAUCCUUCACUCCUUUUCUUGUUACCGCCUUCAAAAUAAAUAUGAAAAAAGCCAUAACUUGGGCACUUUGUCCUCAUCAUAUAUUGGAGACGACUUUAAAAUAUAUUCCCAUUUCUACUACAUUCAUCUUGAGCACUUUGAGCCAUACAACAUGGUAGGCCUUAAUAUUCUACAAAAAUUUAUGUUAGUCUCCAAGGUAUGCAGCUAUUACAUAAUAUUCCAGGUAAACCUCUCCACUUCAUCCAACCAGCUCAAAUUUUAUUACAUAUAUUUUCAUCUAUGUCCCAUUUAUUUUGUUUAUAAGAUCCUAAGUAACGAAAUCAGUCACUUUUUAGAAUCCAUUGGUCAUUAAUUAUAAUUGGUAUCAUAUCUUUAUUUCCAUUUCCAAUAUUAUUAUUUUUUCAUCAAUCAGUCACACUAUAAUCUGCAAAUAACAUACAUUAUGGUAUCUUCUAGAAUAUUGUCAUUAAGUUCAACCAUAAUUAGUACAAAAAGAUAUAGAUUAUGUUGAUCCUUGAUGCAACUCUAUAGUAACUGGAGAUAUACUUGUUGUAAUGCAACGACUCCUAACGCUUGUCAAUGCCCCAAUAUGCAUGUCCUUAAUUAUUUUAAUGUACUGUUUAUGUAUGCUCUUCCUUCUUAAAACCCACCAAGUUAUUUUUCUGAGUACACUAUCAUGAGUUUGUUUUCUGUUAUUGUCAUUGAUUCUGAAGUUCAUAUGAUUGGUCAAUUCUUAUCCAAUACGAGCAAUGUUAAAAAGUCAACACCAAUUUACCAUGGUUGAUGUCAAGAAAAGUGCCUUGUGCCAUAGAUCUCAAGCUUUAUACUUAAAUGUAACCAAGUGAACAUAGUCGAAUAUAUUUGGUUUCUUUGUUUUCGAAGUUUUUAUUUGGGUAACUUAUAGAAAUUAGAAUAGAUUACAGAAUAUUUUUUCAAGUAGUAUUGUUGUGAAAAAUCUUACUUUAUAUAUGUUGGGUAGGUCUUACGAUCAAUAUGUUUUCAUUUUAAUAAAUAAUUAGAAGAUUAGUUUCUGGUUUUUAAGCCUUAUGUUUUUUGCAAGACUAGACAUGCAAAUUGUAUAAAAGGACCUAUCAGAUAGAGGCUGGAAGAAGAAUCAUUCGAGGUGAUUUGUUUUGAAAGAAUGACAGGGUUUCUUUAGGUCAGGUUCAUUGUAUGUGAUCAGUUUUGAAAGGAUUAAGGAACAUUCUGAAUUCUUAUGUCUAUUGGUAUUAUUGAUGCUCCUACUCUUCUGAACCUCAAGUUCCCUGAUAUUUUCUUCAUUAGUUUGCAUAAUCUGACUUCUGUUAUAGAAAUUCUAUGGACCACCACCAAUUACUACCAACUUUUGAUUUGGACCUAUACCUCAUCUAAAGAUGUAAAGUUGAAAUUUUUUUGGCCUUCUUGAAUGUUAGAAUCACCGAAAACACCUUUUCUUCCGUGUUUUCGGUAACAAGACGACAAGCAGAUUUGUUGACCUAAACCUUUGUUUCCAAAGGCCUUCAUGUCCUACCAUUCCUAUGCAGGUCAUCCCUAAUUGGUCAUACAUUACAUGCUCUUAAUCUAGUUUUCCCACUAAUUUGAUUAUUUUAGUGUUGUUAUAGCAUGAAUACAUUCUACUUGGCCAGAUAAAUGUCAUAGUUGUCUUGUCAACCUUUUAAUUGGAAGAGGAUGAUGAAAUUUUUAGAUGUAAUAUCAUAUGGAUAUUCAUAUAUUGUGUUUUUGAUGCUUUUUGUUUGUUUACAACAAAGUAUGAUGAGAUUUACAUAAGCACUUAUGCAUAUCUUUUGAUGCAGAUGCAAAUCUUUCCAUAUUCGGUGUUCUAUAUUUUCUUUGAACAGUAUCUUGAUAUAUGGAAGACAGCCUUGAUUGACAUUUCUAUUGGCCUUGGUUUGUAUUCUCAACACUUUUUCAGCUACAAUACUAUCAAAUUGCGAUUAAGGAGCUCAUAAUGUGAUUGUCAAUGCAUGUUUCAUACUUUCUCCUAUUUUUAAGUGAUUUGUCUGAUAGAUUGUUUUCAUAUUUAAUAAUGUAAAUGACCUUUUAGUUUGUGUGCAACUAUACUCUUAAUCAAGGUUUGCCGAACUAGUACUGGGUACCAUACCAACCGGUGACCGGUUCAAUACAGUAUAGACACAUGGUACAUGGUGGCAUACUUGUGCCUUACCAAUAUACCAUUUCCUUUAUUUUUAUUAUUUACCAACUGUUAUUUUUUUAUUUUUUUAAUGUUUUUAGCAUAUAUUUCAUUGAUUAUGGUUGUUUAAUUUACAAUUCUAAUGUUGUUUUGAUGUCUUUUAUGCCAUAUAGGUCUUCAUUCUCAACAAGCAUCUAUAAUUGAUGAAUUAAUCCAAUUGUGUAACAUAAUUGAAUGCAUGAUUAUCAUAUAAUUGAAUACAAUAUAGUAUGUCAAAUGGAUUUCAAGUAUAAAAAAUGGACCAAUAUUUAAAAUUUUAUAGAGCACCAAUGUCUCUCGUAGACAUCAGUAUCCUGGUCAUAGUCUAGAUAUAUCACUCCAUCUUUCUAUAUAAUCUACCACCCAUCCCUAUGGUCUAUAAAUUGCACCUCCUAGGUAGCCACCCUAAUACUGAUCCUCUAUUUGAUACUAGAUUGGCCAUCCAAGGAUCGAGGCAACAAAUCCGACUCAUAAGGUGCCUAGAAAUGUGGAGCAAGGAUCACCAAACCAGUACCAUGACCCGUGUCUUCAUUUACUGGUAUAAUACGAUAUAGGUCCGUACUGUGUCAUGCCUGAACGUACCAAAAUAAGGAGAGGGAGGAAGAGAAAGGGAGAAAGGAGGGAGGGAGAAAGAGCUUUUAGUGGAGACUGUUGGCUCGACUGGGUUUUCGCGAGGAGGGUGGUGGUAGGUUACUAUGGUUGGUGGCGGAGCUUAGAGUAAGGAGAGGAGUGGGCAGGGGUUAGAGAGAGUAGGAGGGAGGGAGUUUAGAUGAGGGUCGUGGUGGCGUAGCUUAGGGUAAGAAGUUCAGGGAGGAAAGGAGUUUAGGCAAGGUUACUAUCAUUGGUGGCGGAGCUUAGGGUAAGGAGAGAAGCAAGGUUAGAGAGAGAGGAAGAGGGAAGAAGAGAGGGAGUUGCAGCGAGGAGGGUGGUGAUGGGUUACUAUGGUCGUCGGCAGAGCUUAGGAUAGGGAGAGGAGAGGAGAGAGGGGAAGGGAGGAGAGAGAGCAUCGGUGGUUGACAUAUCUGGGACCAAGGUUCGCUGCAAGUAAUGUUGAACCGGCCCAUACCGGCUGGUUCAAUCCGUGCUGAACCAGUCCGGUCUCUGACUGGGUUGGUUUGGGUAUAGAAAACGAUUUCGGCCCCUAUGGGGCCGAAACCGUUCGGUACAAGAGCGAACCGAACGAAACCGGACCGGUUCCGUCCGGUUCGGCCAAGAAUUGGUGCGAACCGGCACCAAGUCUGAUUUGAUCUGCCACAGCGUGCCGCGUGCGCACUAUGACCUUUUUGGCCGAUUCGGUAUCAGUCCGAACUUGUAUCAAACCGGUCCGAUGGUUGACCGGCACACCUACCAGUACCGAUUUGGCGAUCCUUGGCUCGUCAUCUCGGUACCGGACCCCAUACCAGUGCCACACUAGCAUAGUAUCGGUACAGUACGAUAUGGAGUUUUUUUGGUAUACCAAAUAUCGAUAUGCCAUCCGCACCGGUACCGAUACCAAACUGGUAUGGUACGGUAUGCCCGGUACGGUACGGCAUGCCAUGCCUGGGACGAUGGAUAGCUAUGCUAGUACCGGGGCCUAUACUAGUUGCCCGGUAGCACAGUUCAUACAUCCCCAUGUCGUUCUGUAGGAAUAGCAACAUGUAGGGUAUCCACAAAUUUGUCCUAUCAUACUCGAACCCAUUUAAAAUCCCACUACCCGAAGCCAUUUCAAAUCUGAUUAAAAAUGUCCAAAAAUCCCAAACACGUCCCAUCGAAAUAUGGUAAAUCCAUCGGGUACAUAACAACCUCCCCUCCCCCCCCCCCCCGAUUUAAUCUUUAUUUGUAUCGGGUUAUACGGGUCGAGUUGGGUACUCGACUCGGAAUUACAAAAACAAAAAAAUAAGGGAAUAAUAUCAAGUAAAAAUGGGUAUAAAUAAUUUGGCAAAGAGUCUAAAUACAAAUAAAUUUUGUAGCUUAGUGGUAAAGGUAGAGGUUGGAUGUCCUUGAUAUUUGGGGUUCAACUCCCUCCACAAUAUAUAGAUUUUUAUAAAAUUUUAUAAAAUAUGUAUAUAUAUUAUGAAUAAUCGUGUUCAAGUAGCGGGUACUUGAGGGGCAAACCCCAUAUCCAUCCAAACUCUACAAGAUUUGCUAAACGAGUUCUAUUAGGGAUUAGGACGGGUCAAAUAUCCGAAAAAAACCCACCUUGUACUUGUACCUACUAUUCCAUGCUGGGCCCAUACUGACAAAGCAAAGAGGGCGAAAGAGAUGGAGAACGGGAGAGAAAAGACAAAGAGAGAGGGGGGAGGGCUGGAGGAUUCCGGCGAAGGGCUACGGAGGGUCGUGGAGAGGCAAGGAAGGGCUCCAUCCUCCGAUUCCCUUGUUUCAUUAGAAUUAAGGGUCCUAGAGGGCGCUUCUUUUUUAUUUUGAAGAAACUAAGUGAAGUCGGCAACCCAUUGAUAUUUAGUUUCUCGACAUUUCCUAGUUUUUGUUCUAUUUUCUUUGUUUUCUUGUUGCCUUGUUCAUUUUCCUCCUCUUUUGAUAGUUGAAGGAGAAGAGAGGCUUUGCUUUCAACUGGAGGAAAACAAUAGUUGUUUCUUCUUUCUUUUUCCUAAUGUUUUGUUUCCUUUUCCAUAGUGGCUUCUUACAUUCCCCCUCCCUCGCUCCUCUUCAUUAAUCCAUUAAUAUUAUGCAUAAAAUCCCAAUACAUGACUCAUUUAAAUAAAUAAAAAAUGCGAACAAGACUUUUAAAUCCCUAAACUACCCAAUAAAAUGUGGUUUCAUUUCAUAGUUUUAAUAGCAUGAAUAGUGUCAUAAAUAGUACCGGUACAUUAACUUGUUCAUCAAGCUACUGAAAUAAAAUAUGGGAUCUUUUAAUUUCAUCCCUUAUUUCUAAAUGACCCUCUAAAAGUUAUAAAUAAAUAAAAGGAAAGAAAAAUCCAAAAAAAAAUUGACAACAAGAAACUUUAAGAAAAAGUCCCUACGGUGCAUUCUUUAAUACAUCAUAACAUGUUUUUGGAUCUUCAUCAGAAACCUAAGGAUAUUGACCAUUGUUAAAUACAUAAAGAAUGAGGAUAAUAGGUUUUUAGUAAAAGAUAAAUAAAUUGGAAAAGAUAGAGAUGUUUUUUAAAUGAGAAAUUCAUUAGAUAAUUCUUACUGAAGAAAAAUAUAGAUUUGUCAAGGUUCUUUUUGUAUAUUCAUAAAAUUGAGGGGGUGGUUGCUUUGAAAAGGAUGUAAAAAGUGUAAGGCACUCCAUCUAGAUGAAACACAUUGAAGUUUGGAAAAGCAUGAAAGAUAUUGAGCUAACUUAGCCUGUUACCUUAGAUGAUGAGAUUUUGAAAACCAAAAAAAUACCAUAUGAUUGGAGAAUGUACUGUGAGGACAGGCCCAAAAUGGCCUAUAUUGGGCUGAAGUUGGCAAGCCUAACCGACUUCAGCCCGAGGCCUGAGGAGAAGCCCUUGCUUCGUCUUCCUCAAAGCGGAGAGGCCACGGAGUCAUUUUGGGCACUUGUACAGGAUCAAGAAACCCAAAUAAUACCUUCUGGCCAUUUUAGGUGAGAUUCUGGAUUGUUAUAAAUGGUAUCAGAGCUGACACAGUCUACAACUUUGUGGACUAGAGGAUACUGCAGCAUAGUUUUAUUGGGGUUGACUACGAGCCGAUCGUGGUGUUUGUGAUUAGAUUUGAAUGGAUUUGAAUCUUAGCCUAACGAGGACAUCAGAGCUUAAAUGGAGGAAGUAUGUGAGGACCCAUGCGGGCUUGUGUUUAGUCCCACAUCGAUUAUUCGCUGGGUAGAUCUUGGGUUCCUAAACAGAAUCAAGAAAUCCGAAUAAUACCUUUCAACGCCAGUUUAGAUGAGGUCAUGGGUUGUUACAUGUACAUCCUUACUCCAAUUAUUGGGAAUUAAGCUUAUAAGUCGUUCUGUGAAGCAUGGUUUCAAAAUUCACUCGAAUGGUAUGGGAUGAUAUGAUCGGUUCCAUACCGUUCUGGUGCACUACGAGCACCAGUAUAGGUACAGCCAAGGUACACCAUCUCGGUAUCGGACCUGUACAAGUGCCACAGUAUUACUAUGUUGGGAUGGUACAUUACAAGUCCAAUUCGGCAUACUAAGUGUCAGUACACCCACUCGUACCAUAUAUCGGUAUACUACGGGAUGUUCUGUAUCAUUCGAUUUCAAUGGUAGUGUACUAUGGGUACAGCUAUUUUGGUAUGUAUCAGCUAUAACAGUCUAUAUCGGUCUGUACUAAUAUGUGUCAGUGAUGCCAAUUGUACUGUUGGUACCAAAAAAUGUGGAAUCAUCUCGAACCACUUGAUUCGGGGCGUACUGAGCUAUGCCGGCGGUGGACCGAGAUGGUUCCGACAUUCAAAAUGAGAAACUAGCAGGAGGAGGAGAAGCAGAAGGAAAGAAAGAAAGAGAGAAGGGGAGGAAGGAAGAGGAAGAGGGAGAGGGGGGAGGGCCGCUGGAGGGGUUCCAAAGGUGCCGGAGGAGGGGCUCUGCUUCGGACCCCUGCUCUGGCCCUUUAUGGCCCUUCAGCACCCCUCCAAAGCAUGUUUUCUCUCCUUUCCUCCCCCCAUAUCUUUCUCUCUUUUCCUCUCUCCCAUCCUCCCUCUCCCUCGUCCUCUUCUCUGUGUUGGUAUGGGCCCAACAGGAAUGACAUGGGGGCGUACCGAACCAUGCCGCCGGCCAAUCAAUACAGGCUUCAGUACCAACAUGGCGAACCUUGGUUGGUACCAUGGUAUGUUGAACCGGCGCGUACCAGUCGGUUCAGCACGUACUAUACUAGUACUAGGGCCAACCGGUGCAGUUUAGCCAUGGAAAAUGGUUCGACUAAGUUUUUGCUGCGUACCGGUGCGACCUAGUCCGGUUCGCACCAGUACGCGUGGGGCAGUGCCCCCCAUGCGUGGGAAAGAAGAACAGGAAAGAAGAGGAAGAAAGAGGAAGAAGAAGAGGAAGAAGAGAAGAAAAAGGAGAAUAAAAAGAGAAAAAGAAGACGUACCAGUACUGGGCCUCGCACGAGGAAAUGCCCUUCCUUGCUCGCAGGAGAAGGGGGAAAGAGAGAAGAGAGGAGGAGAGAGGAGAAGAAAAGAGAAGGAAGAAGAAGAUUCCGGAAGAAGGAAGAAGAGAAGGAAAAGAAAAAGAAAAGAACAAAAGAACAAAAAAGAGGAACGCGGUUGCAUGCGUCCCGUGCGGGGAAACACAUUCCGUGCACGCGGCCUCGCCUGUGGAAGCGCAGGGAAACACGUGGAAGUGCGUCCCGCGCACGCGGGGCAGCGCGCCCGGCCGCGCUAGGAACUGCGCGAGACGAGCGCUAGUGCGCUCCCGCUGCGGACUGGGUCAGUACCAGUUCGGUACGGCCCGAACAGGUACCAACUCGGUCCAGGUCGCCAUCAGUACGCCAAUCGGUACCGGUUCAGCGUACCUUGGUUGGUACUUGGUACUGAUGUUUUUUCAAUUUUUUGGAAGCAUCAGUUUUGGUAUGUAUUGUCGGUAGUGGUAUCAUGAAGUUACCAUACCAUUCUAAUAUAAAAAAGGUACAAUGUUCGAUCAUGGAUGGAAAUGGGCAAGUGAGCAAAGCUUUGAUAAUCUCAUAUUACCAAUUUGCAUUUAUGUCUAAAAGAUAAUCAAUUGAGGUUAUCUUCUUAGUUAGGCAAUAGAUAGAAAAAUAUGGAAAAGCAAAGUCUAUAUAAGACCUUUAUUGACUUUGAGGAAGCUUAUUAUGAUAAUGUGCCAACCAAGGUUCGCCAUCCCAGUACCAGACCCUAUACUGGUGCACACUAGCACUGUGUCAAUGUGGUACAGUAUUGGUGCGAACACUAGUGCCAGGUCACCCGUCACUCAGGUCUACGGUCGCCGUAGGAGGAUGGUCCAACCAGUUUGAUUUAUUUUCGAGUGAUUUUAUGUUAUUUGGGCUUAUUAGGGUAUUUUGUUAUGUAACAACCUUUAGGGCUUAUUUUGGUAUUUCAUUAUUUUGAGGGUCUUUUAUGAGACUAGUUUCUUUUUAGGGAUCUUUUGCAUUUUUUGGGUCUUAUAAAUAUGUUGGACCGUACAUCAUUUAGGGUUAUGCUAUGAAUGAAAUUGUGAUUUCGUUCUUUUAGCUCUGCAUGUGAAACCCUGACCGAGGCUAGGUGCGAAGCCUAGUUUUUUUUUCUCCCUCCUCUCUUCUUUCCUAUUUCUCCUCUUCUCUCCUUCUCUCUUUCUUUCUUUCCUUGCUGUCCGACAUCAGGUAUGAGGUUUUUUCAGUGUAUCGAGUGUUGGUACGCCACACGUACCAGGUACCAGUACAGAACCAGUUUGGUACAGUAUGUCCCAUACCAUCCGGUUCGGGCCGGUACGGCAAACCAUGGUGCCAAUAAAGGUAAUUUGUUAGGCUUUUAAAAGGAAAGGUUAUGAUAAGGUUAUUGAAUUGACUUAAAAAAAGCUUAUGAUAAGGCGUCUGCCGUCUGUAAAUGGUACAUUGAAAUCAUUAAAGAUAUGGAUAUUAGACUUAUGACAAGUGUUAGGUUGAUGGUAAAACAGUUAUAUUCCAAUCACAAUAGAAUUGCAGCACAGAUCAAUGAUAAGUCCUACCUUUUUACACUAUUAUGGUUAUGGAUGAGCUUAUAGCUAAGAUUUGGGAAGAUGUGCCUUGGUGUAUACAAUCUGCAGAAAAUAUAGUGUUGGUUGAUGGGAAAAGGAGAUAAAUGCUAAAUUGGACUUGAGUAAGAAAGCUUUAGAGAACAAAGGCUUAAAAAUUAGUUGAAAGCUUUAAAGAACAAAGGCUUAAAAAUUAGUCGAAAAAGGACAGAGAAUAGGGAAUGCAAUUUUGGUGAAAAUAGAGAAGAUAGGGUUCCAAUUAAGAUUGAUGAGAAAGAGUUAUUACAGAAUGAUAAAUUUCAUUAUCUGGGAUCAUUAUACAAAGUAUUGUGGAUAAACAAAGAUAUAUGUAACAUGAUAAUGAUUGUUGGAUGAAGUGCCAAGAUGCUUUUAGGGUAUCAUGUGACUUAAACAGAAAUUUUAUAGAACAACAGUUAGGCUUGCGACAUCAUAUGUCUCUGAAUAAUAGGCAAGAAUGAAGGUUCUGAAAAGCGAGUAUAGGCCAUGAUGUCAAGAUGGAUAUGUGGUAAAACUAGAAUGGAUAAGUUGAGGUAAAGCCAACCCAAAAUAGUUGGGAUAAAGCUUGAUGAUUAUUGUUUUGGUUUCCAUCCUUUAUUGCCAUCAUAUACCCAUUACUGUUCCUCAUCACAGCAUCUUGCCCUCCCUUAUGCUGGCCGUGCCUUCUACAUUGAGGUGGUCUGCAACCCCAUGUUCAAUUGGUAAAUCAAUUGGUAUUACCAAUUGGUUUAAUUGGUAAUCUUUAAUGCACUCCUCUAAUUGCCUACCCCAGAGCAGUUGACACUACCUAAACCAAAUCCUAUAUAUUAUGUAUUUAUAUAAUAUAAAUGUAUUUUUAUUUAUUGUACUAAUUUAUUGAUCAAUGUUUUCCUUUUAAAACUUAUAGCUUUUAAACUUCUAAUUUCACAGUGUUUCUUAGCUCAUUUGCUGCUACUUUAAUGCUUAGUAGUACAAUUAAUCUAUCAUGGUUAAAUACUUUGAUCUGAUCAGUUUAAUUAAUCCUUCAAAAUGACUUCUGACCUAAUCAACCCAUUCUAGCCCGAACCAACCUAAUUUUGAACCCAAGCUUAAAAAAUUGAGAUCAUGUUGAGUGUAGGUUAAGGAGCUUGGGUUAAUAUUGAGUUGAGUCAAGUCUUAGAUAGAGGUUUGAUGGUCUUAUGUCACACGUGAGCUGACCUCUAACCAAACCCAACACAUCUGAUUUCCACCUCUAUGGAACAGAUGGUGGAUAAUGUUGGCAGUGGUAUUGUACCUAUAUGGAUAGGUCAUUAAGUUCAUAUCAGUCAAGUGAAUGCUUUGAUUGUUUCUUGAAUCUUACUUGACAGUUGCUCAUAAUGGUUUAUUUUCAUUGAAUGCUUCACUACGGCAUUAUGAAAGGCACUAAAGUUGCUAGGAAUUACCACAAUCAGUCACCUAUCGUAGCUUUUAUAUUCUUAAGGGUCAUUGUCAAUUUAUAUGAAAUCAUGUUUUAUUGCUCUUGAAGCAACACUUUUUGCUUCGACGACAUCCCUCCCCUUCUGAAAUAUGCUUAUUUCCUAAAUAUUAAGUGGUGAGGUUUUAACAAGCAUAGCCUUUGUAAGGAUCCUUGGAGGCAUGUGUUUAGUCCCACAUCGUGUUUAGGCAUGUGUUUAGCCUUUUUGGGUGCCUAGGUUGUUUUAAGUGGUAUCAAAGUGGAUCCAGCUCUUGCAACAUGGGUCUAGAUUGGAUUUGUGGAACUUGUGAUUGGAUUUGAAUGAAUUUGGACCAACGUCCGCCAAAUCGGUAUCGGGGCCUGUACCUAUCGGUGACCAGUAUGGUAUGGUACUGGUCCAUGCCAUUCUAUUCCAAGACAUACCAAAAGAGGAAGAGGGAGGGAGAGAGAGAACCUUCCAUUUGAGUUCCAAGCACCUCCGAAGCCUCGGCAAUGCCCUCCUAGCCAAGGAAUGAAGGACGGGGGGCUUGGGAUCUCGAUUUCCCCAUUCAUGGAAUCCGCCAUACCGGUGGCAGUAGCCAAGCAAUGAAGAAAAGGGGGCUCGGGAUUGUGUAGGGCUGCAGGGAGAGAGAGAGGGAGAGCCAGAAGGGAGAGAGGACCUUCUAGGGUUUCAAUGGGAGGGUUGGGAGCACUUGGGAUACGCAAUGGAGCUCAGAACGGGUCUUGAGAGCAUUUAAAAGACCAAACAAGGGGUCUCAAGGGUUUUGAAAAGACUGAACAAGGCUGAACCGGCCCGACCGCCCGAGCCGUUUCGAUUCUUGGCUAGUUUAGCUUAGUACAACCUAAAUUGCUCGGUUCAGUUCAAUUUAGCCUUUCUUGAUUCAAACCAAGUUAUACCGAAUCAGUGCCAGUAAGCGUAUCGGUCGCCUACCAGACCGAUUCGAUACCGGUAGGCAUAUCGGUCGCCUACUGGACUGAUUCGGUACUAGUCGAACCGGUACUGAACCGGCAACAACGCGCUGCAGCAUACUGUGGACAACAUUAAAUGCCAUUCUAUGGCAUGCUCGAAGGCGUACCGGUGGAACUGGUCCAGUUCGCACCGGUACAAGGUGGUACCGGGCUUGUAGCAGUGAGAACCGGUCCGGUUCGCACUGGUACGCCCUCCGUAUCUCUUGAUUCCGGCCCAUAGGGGCUAGAACCAUUUUCCACCACUGUAUCGAACCGAUCAGAAACCGGACCGGUCCGGUAUGGAUACCAUGAUUCAAACCAUUAGCCUAACGAGUAUGUCAGGGCUUCAAUGGGGAGAGUAUGUAAGGACCCAUGUAUGUGUGUGUUUAGUUUCACAUCAGCUAUGCAAUCGGUUUAUCUUGGGUACUUAUAUAUCUCGGGUACCUUCUAGUUAGCAUUUUUGGGUGAGGUCCUUGGAUAUGUUACAACCUCAUGGGAACCCGGUUCUCUAUAUACGGUGUUUUGAGCAAAGUAAAAAGAAAGAAGAGAAUAGUGGUAAAGGAAGGAUAUUCAAUCACUUCCAAGGGAUCAAGCCCUCCAAAAGCCUAUAAGCCAAUUUUGCUAAUCUGAGUUUAGAUGGCCCUAGAUCUCAAUAUAUUUAGAGAUUCAUAUUGCUUCUCAUUCAACAACAUGGAGAAGCAAAAUAGGAUACUUGAGGCAUCUAAUCCCUAACAAACUUGGACUCCUAAGUUAAACUUCUACCCCAAAUCAAUUGAAAUUUGGGUAGCAAAAUAAGAAACCUAUAAUGCCCUAUUCGAUAUUUAUAGCUGAUCUAGAUCUUCAUUUUCUUUUCAUUUAUAAAAAUAUUCAAUUUACUAUAACUUUACGAAAGAUAUACAAUUUAAAACAAAAAUUUAAUCAAGCUUAUCUCAUUUCUAGCAGUUACAAACCCUCAUUGUGAGGACCUAUGCUAGCAAGAUCAUUGUGUGUUUGUUUCUAUAUUGGGCAUGUGUUAGGGAGGUGUCAGGCACUUAAGCAAGAUCAAUGACCCCAAUAAUAAACUUCCAGCUAGGCUUUUUCUGGAUGAGGUCCUGGCCUGUUGCACUCAUAUCAUCAUCAACAUUAUAUUAGAAGAUCGUGUCAAACUUCACAUGCACUUGACCAUAGUAAAAAUUCUGGUUUCAUGAUUAUUUUCUAUUGACAAAAAUUCAUAAUAUGGAAAGAAUUAAGAAGAAAUCCAGGAAGUGGUGUAGAUUUAACUAUAGAAGAAUAGAUAAUCAGAUCAGAAAGAAAGUAAAACAUACAGAUGAAUGGGCAAAAUUUGGAGAUGUUUGAGAAUAGUCCUUUCAUAAUUUGCAAAAGUAAGAAAAAUUAAUUAUUUGAAACAUUCACUAGUGUCCAUAGAGCAUGAUUUCUUUAUUAAUCCAUAUGAACUGAGAACAAAUGUUUUGUUUGUGGAAUUGAGAAUGAUUAGAGAUUUUUUUGAUAAGUUGGAGAAUUUUAUGCAUAAGGCACUAACAAGCUUUCCUAUUGUAAUAGGUGCUGUGUUUCUUGUUUGUCUGGUCAUCACCUGCAGGUCUGCGGCACUCAUACCAAAAAUCUAAGAUUGUCCCAUGAAUUUUAUUUUUUAAGUGCUGUUGCUGACUUUUGAGUUCUCAUUUCUCGAUGCAUACAUUAUUGGUUGCAGCUUAUGGACUUCUACAAUCAUUUUAAUAGUGUUGGCAAUGAUUGUUGUUGAUAUGAUGGUAACUUCCAACUAGCAACUCCAAAUAUUAUUUUUAAGUUCUUUCUACUCAUCUAUAAAUGGAUGACCAACCAAAUGUUUUGCCGAAAUUAUAAUUGUUACUUUUGCAAUCAUUGAUAUUUGUAACUAAAGCUACCAGACCUUUGGUAUGUAUUCUCAUGAAAAUAAUGUUUACCCCAAUCAAGACCUAUUUAUGCAAGUAUUUGUGAGGCUUGUGUAACCUAGUUUUUCUAUACUAGAUUAUUUUGAACAAGGUCUGCUGUGCCGGAACCAGGGCCCGGACUGGUUGUCCGGCAGCACGGGUUGGUACACCCCCGUACUAUUCUGUGCCGGGCCCGUACCGAUAUAGUAGAGGAGGCGGGGGAGAGGGAGAACAGGAGAGAGAAAAGAGAGGAGCGCAAUCAUUGCUGAUGAUGAAUAGUCAAUACAACUACUUCUUUUCUAUGUCCAAAUACUCCCCCAUCCCCCCUCAGUUUGGGCUGGACAGGAGGAAUCACCUCAAGUCUUGGAAAUAGUUUCCAUCAGGAGCAUAGUUUUGUUCCCGAUAGCAGCUCUUCUGUAUAGAAAAUCUGAAGUAACUUUAGGAUUCAUUUAAACUUUCAAAUAUGAAAUUUCAAAUAUAAACUCUCUUAUUGUAUAUUCAGUCUCCUAGAUCAGAUCUACAUCAGUUCUGCUCAUGUCCAUUGCUCCAUAGGGAAAUGAGAAUAAGAGCUCAAUUUAGGUUAUUUAUUGGGCAAAUAAGAACCUUUUCAGGUGCUUUUUGUUAGGAUCUCUAAUGUGGCUCACUUCAUUCCCUACAUGAAGACUUUAUAUGUAACAUGUUGGUAGUUUUCACUUAAGAUGCGCUAACUUAGCAAAUUUCAGGGACCUUUUCACAAUGAAAAUAUGACUGUUUGUCUCAAUUAUACCUGAUAAUUCUAAGUGGGCAGGGAACCAGAAGUUCAUGAAUUGCACUUGGUGAAAUCUAAUAUAUUAUGAGAACGUAGUCCUGUGACAGGCUGUCUGUACACAAUGGAACUUUCCAUGGUAGGGCAACAAAUGUAGGUAUCUUUAAACUUAUCUUGCAUGAAUUUUGAAUAACCUUUGGAUCUGAUUAGCUUACCUGGUCAAGUAAUAUUGCAAUUAUAUUAGAAGAAUGCAAGAGUGUAUUUGGGUAGACAAAAAGAAAUGGAUCUUAGCAUAUAGUAGUUAAGCUUUAAAAAUUUAAAAAGUCCAAGGAGUCUGAAGGCAAUGGUCCUUGUGAUGAUAUACAAUUGAGAGAAGAGUUGAAUUACAAUCAUUGUUGUCAAAUCAAUAUAUCAUCGGAAACAACUGGUCUACUUGCCAUGUGAUGUCUCAUGUACCAUUAACUUUAAGUUGAAAUUAUGAAUAUCAAAGGAAUAGGCUAGGGAUGCAGAUGUAGUAAACAUGUCUACAACCAAUCUAUAGUUAACGUCUAAUGCAUCAAAUUACUUUCAUAAUGGACUUAUAAGUGGUUACAAUUGUGGGGCUUAUUCAGAUAAACAAAGUGAUAUAUAAAUGUAUUGUUUCUAGGUAUGGUUUUUCACUUUUUUGAAGCUAAAGAUUGUAUAGGUAUUUCUUCUGUAAAAAGCCUAGUACAACUUGUUCUUUUUAAAAAGUAUCGAAUUCAUGUUUGUGAAGCAUUCAGAUAGUGCUUAGAUGACUGAAAAAUCUCAACCAAACUUGUUCAUCUGGGUUAUUGAGAUGUGAUCUUUGUUCAAUUGUUCAGGAUUUCUUUUUUGAUAUUUUUUGCAAGUGAUCCAUUGCUACUCAAGGAAAAUGUCGAGUCGACAUAUUUGUAUUCUUAAAUUUUAUCCUAUCGAAAUGUUUUCCACCUUUUCUUUGCAUUAUGUCUGUCAUACUCAUAAUACUUAUAGAGUUUCACUCAAGGUUCGCUGUACCGAUCGGUACCGGUCGGUAUGAGCGUACCGUACCCGUACCGAUGGGUACCGGUAUCGGUACACCAAUGUCGGUACGUCUGGCGUACCGCAUACCGUACCGUACCGACACUUGGUACGCCUAUACUAGUGCGGUACCGAUACGGGGUUCGGUACCGGUAUGGCGAACCUUUCACUUAUUAAAAUGAUACUAAUCAUCUGUAGUGCCGAGUGUUUAACUUCAAUUUAUGAACGAAAUAUGCCUGAUUGCCUGUGAAUAGCUCCAUCUCAACAUAUUAUGGAUUAGCCUUUUUGUUAUGGAAGUUUAUUUCUACUUCACUUAUGGAUUAUGUUCAGAUGGUGCCUACCGGUUCUAUUUCAUAUCUGUAGCAUAUCACAAAAUACAAUAUAUCACUUACAGACAUCUAAAAUAUCUAUAUUCACAUGUAUCUUAUGACUCCUUGUAACAUUUAUUGUAAUUGGCUCUUGAUUUUGAAUUCUUUGCUUGUUUUUUAUGAUGAUAUCUACUGCAAAAGUUAGUUUUUCCAUAUGCUAACAUUACAUAUCCUGGCAGGGAGUGAUGGCUAUCCUGGAGAUCCAACUGAAUGCAGUUUCUGUUGUAAACCUUGUCAUGUCAAUAGGAAUUGCUGUUGAGUUUUGUGUGCAUAUCACACAUGCAUUCUCGGUUAGUCUCUCUCUCAUUUAUCACACAGUGAUGCUAAUAGUUUACAUUCAUAAUAUAGGUUGUGUUAUUCUUUAUCACAACUUCAGUUCUGUUGUUUUGGUCUACACAAUCCAGCAAUGACGAUGUCUUUAUACUAAUAUGACCGUUUUCAAUAAAUCAUUUUUGGAGUACGAAUAUAGACUUGCAUAUAUUUGAUGUGUUUGUGUGUGUGUGUGUGUAUAUAUAUUUACAGAGAUUGUAGGCUGUUCCUUGCACUACUUGGGCAUGCAACUGUAAGAAUUACCUGUAUUUCAUAAUUCAGACAUAUGAAAUUAGUAGUUUCUAACCAGGUAUGUGAUUUGUAUGAAAAAGUUUUUGCAUCCUACCUAAGCCCGUGGACAAGUAAUUUCAAUUUUUUAUUCAUAACAUAUUCUAUUAUGGUUUCAUCUAGAUCCUCUGAAAUCUCAGAACUUAAGUUUGGUGUAGAGAAAAUGCUUUCCUCAUUUGGCCUUAGAAACUAGUUAUGACCAAAACUCUGAAACUAGAUCUAGUUUUCUGUUUCCUUCAAAUGAAACUGAAGCAUUUUGGUUUUGGUUUUAGAUAUAUGAGUGAAACUUAAAUGAUAUAGGCGAGUCUAUGAAGUCCUGUAGCCCAUAACAUAUAGAGUAUCUGCAAGAAAAUUAUAUACAAAUGUCAGGAAAGUGAAUUAAAUUAAAAAAGUUGCAAAAGCCAAAAAAUUGACUGUUGAAAAGAAAGGUGAUAUUCUUUAUGAUGAGAUAUCCAAUAGGCAUUGUACCUCUUAUUUCUAUCAGUGUUGUCUGGAUAUGGGUAUGACGUUCAUAGACAUAUUCAAGCAUCUCAGGAAGAUGAUAAAAAGGGGAUAUAGGAACAUUCACGGAACAUAAAUAAACUAUACUUUCAAUAUUAUGAAAACAACAUUCAAAUAUGGCUUUCGACAAACAUGCCUCUUAUUCAAACUCCUAAAUUAUUUUUAGAAUAUAAGAAACAUGACUUUCUGCAACGUUAUUUUGAUGCGUACAUAUUUGACAAAUUCCCCAAAGGAAUAAGAGCUUAAUUCUGAUGUCAUUAUCGAGGAUCAGAAUUAUCAAUGAAAGCAUCUGAAUAUGUACCAAUUUGUGAAAGAUACCAUCAAAGAGUUUUGUUGAGUAUUUAGGCGUCUAAUACAUGUCUGACUUGUCGAUAAGAUCUGACACAGAUUCUUCGAGAUGGUCAUGAGGGUCCAAGUAGCAUAAUUUCCGAAACUUUAGCUUUGCACCUUUGGCUUCAAAAGGCUUUGAUACAAGGAUCCCAGCCUCACACCAAUACCUUAAUCUGAAUUUGAUUGAAGGAGCAUAGCCUCUCAUUUUGUCUCAGAUUAAUCACGAAUGGCCUGAUGCUGCACAAUAAUAAUUAAGAAAGAAAUUCUACAUUCUUCUUUAACUCAAAUUUAUGCUCACAAUGGAGGAAUAGAUGUGUAGGACUAAGAACCUGAGUAGGACUAAGAUUACUAACAACGGAAACCAAAAUAUUGAUUAUCCAUGCCAAUUGACAAUUACGUGAUUUCCUAGGCAUCUUGAGGUAGAAAUUAAGUGUCAAUUGAUAUUUGAUAUCACUACCACUGAAUUCACUACAGCGGCACCUUAUCAAUUUUUUGGUGAUAUCUUCCUUACCUAGACUUCGUUUGACAAUAUGGAAAGCUAACUCAAUCUGAUAGAAAAGAAGUGAUUUUAUUCUUUGACUUCACUGAGCUCUUCUUUUUCUUUUGACUGCUAUCUGGGAUGUUGGUCUUCAAUAGUCUGACUGUCUUCAAUGUAUUAGUUGGGUCUAGCAUCCUCGAAGUUAUGCUGGAUUACCCUAGUACAUUGGUCAUUUAAUGAGAUGGUAUGCUGCCUGGCAUGCAUCAUUUAACUCAUGGAUUAAGGAGGGUUUGGUAAUUUGGGGGGGGCGGGGGGUGUGCGUGGGGCCCGAGAGAGAGGUUUCAUUGGGAGGAAGGGAGUUGCAAGGUUUGUGGAGGUGUAAAGAGUGUUAAGGGUGAGGAAAGUGAAGGGAAAUUGGGCUUUGAGGAUGAUAGAGAGGAGUUAAGGAAAAGAAAGGUGGAGAAGGUGGUGGAUGAUAACAAAGGGGGCACCAGUAGAGGAUAAGAGGGAGCAUAGGUAAUGGCAUAUUGAUGUUGAGGAUGACUGGGUGGAUGAGAGUAGAGGUGGGAACUUCUAGAAGGGAAAGGAGGGGUCAAUAAAAUAUUAAUUGAUGAGAGAGAAACAGCGCUUGGUGGUAGGGUAGGUGCAGUAUCAUCAUAUCAGUUUGCUCUCAAUAUAAAUCUCAUUUGUUGGUUAAUGAAUCAAUUAUGUUUAGAUCCAUCAGGUUACCAGACUGAAAACUACAGCCAACUUGAGUUAUCAAAUUGGAUUAAUAAUGCUUGGAUCAUUAUUAGGCUAUAAAACUGGAAACUGAUUGCAUGAUUUGAGUUAUUGAUUGGGUUUAGUCAUGACAUGACCAUUAACUGCGAUUGAGCAUGGAUGGUAAGAUUACUGAGCCAUAGAUUCAACAACCUAAUGACACUACAGAUGAUACUGCUAUUCAGUUCUGAUGGUAUAAUUUAUACAAGGCUAGGGCUUUACUGGCAAUUAAGAAGUCCAUAGUAGAUAGAAAUUUCUUCUAUAUUGGAUGUUGCACCCACUUCAGAAUUUCUCUAGAAACUCAUUCCCAUACCUGCUUCCUAAGCAUUUAUCUUUAGAUACCUUCUUCCUUUCGAGUUAAUAUUCUGCUGGUCACAGGUCAGCAAUGGGGAUAGGCAGACGAGGGUCAAAGAGGCUCUGAGUACCAUGGGUGCUUCUGUAUUCAGGUAAGAUGUUAUUUGCUUCUUUGUUUUGUAGCUGCCAUCCAGUAAAACAGCAUACUAGUAAACCAAAUAAUUAUGAUACUCGAGAAGGAAACUGCUGAUGGUAGUUCCUUCGUUGAAAUCUUUAUUUAUCUCCAACAGUUCCUGCUCCAGGAAUAGAUUCACUGUUGUCUGACUCAACUAGUUUAAUAUAUUUAAUUAUCAAGAGAAGUUAUAAUUGUAGCUCCUGUAAUCCCAUGUCAGAAAGAAAGUAGCAUCAUUUCCAUACAAUGCCCUCCGUUAUGAUCUUACCAAGAGAUGCACUUUGAUUAGAGAAGUUUCAAAUUGAUUGGCUACAAAAAGUAUUAGCUAUCAAAUUGAUGCACUUUGAUCUUACCCAGUUAAUUCUUUGUUUUUGUUCUCCAAAAAAUUCCCCAGACAAAACAUAGUUUUUCUCCUGCUCUGUUUCUUUUCCUUUUUCCUUUUUUUUCCCUUUCAUGAGAGGUAUUCCAAAUUUGUGCUGAAGUCUGCACACCUUAGCUUGAUUCAAACCCAUGAAUCCAAACAUCCAUCAUCGGAGAAUUUGACAAUUGCAUUCAAAUAAUGCAUUCGCUUUUCCAAGCUGCCCAUUCUGCAGUACUGUCAGAAGCAUCAGAACCAUAAUCAGAAACAUAGAACUUUGGUAGCAUUGCAGAGAUAUUGAAGAUUGCCAAGGAAUGUAUGAGAUGAUUCAUUUACUGAAAUAUAAUGUAUUUUGAGUUUAUUUUUUGUCCUUCAUGUAUUCAAUUGAGUCCUUUAUUAUCUACAAUCUUGAAGCCAUUCUAAUACUUGUUUUCUCUUUUCUUGCAGUGGAAUUACACUGACAAAGCUAGUUGGAGUGAUUGUCUUACGUUUCUCAAGAUCAGAAGUCUUUGUGGUUUCUAUUGAACUCUGGAUUUCUAAUUUUAUAUUUGACCUAGAAACCACCAGUUUUAAAUCUCAGCUGUUUGACGGCGAUCUUGCAGGUUUAUUACUUUCAAAUGUAUCUGGCACUGGUGCUUAUUGGUUUUCUGCAUGGACUCGUCUUCCUACCAGUAAGUUAUUGAAAUAAACCCUUUCUAUAAUAUGGUCAUCCCGGAGAUUAGUGAAGCUUGUAUUAAUUAUUGCUUGGUUGUGUGCAGGUGGUGUUGAGCAUUUGUGGCCCUCCUUCAAGGUUCAUACAAGUCAACAGACAAGAAAUUCAGCCAACAACGUCAACUCAGCAAAGCUAAUCAAUUUCUAACUUGGCCAAUCUCAUUAUGCGGACCCGUGUUACAUUUAUUGACCUUUUUUUUUGGCUCGCAAUAAUGCUUAUGUAACUUGUUUCAUCAUGUAAAACUAGAAACCAGAUCAUAAUGUACAAGAAAAGAGAAAAAGAUUGAGCUUGAAACAUCAAGAAUCCAUCAAUGGUGCUCCGCUGCUCCAUGUCUUCCAGAAAAGUCGCACUUUCGGGUCGCGAAAAUUGAUGACAGCAUUGUUCUAUUAGAAAAUGGGGAGAAAUCGAUCCAAUAUCAAUUCAACAAGCAGUGAGAUAGUUAUCUUGCUCUAGAGAAAGGAGUAAUUUUAAGUGUCACCAGGAAGGAAGAGUGCUAAACUUGUAUGGUUAUGGUUUCUGAUUUUGAUCGCGGUAUGGGUUCUGGACUGGGAUUUUCUGAAGGAUGCAAUAAGAAUUUCUAAUAUUCUGUCGAGACCUCUCCAAAAUGCAAUGUGUAUGAAACAGCAAGCAAAAAUAAACAAAUAAUUAGUUAUCAAACUGCACGCCCAACUUAAUGCAAUCAAGCAGUACAACACAACUUUGUGAUCUUAUAUUCUUGGUAGCUUCAUCAAAAAAUUAAUUUAGACUGCAUAUUGUGCAAGAUUUUGGUUGCUCAGGCUGCCCUCACCAUAUGCUUAGGCUGCCCCCACCAUAUGUAGUUGGGGAGAUCUUCAAACUUGGAACUGCUUAAUCCUAGAAAUGUAAAAAGUACCUUACAUACUAUACUUUUUUUACAUAUAUUUUAAACUUGCUAUACAUUUUUCUAAUUUUAUUAACUUAGGAUUGCUGUUUGCUUCUUCUAAUUAUAUCAACACUUUACUUCUACAAUUAUUUAUUUGUUGAGAGAGCUUAAGCUAAACCUAAUUACAAUUCUUCAAGCUCAAUUUGUUUCUUAAUUAAACAAGAGCCGGGCAUAUGGUUCUAUCUAGGUUUGCAGGCCUAAAACUUUUGUGUUUGGCUUGUUUACCAAUUUAGACUUUGACAAGCUUAAGCUUGGCUUGCUUCCUCAUCACAAGAGUUCUAUGAAGCCUAUCACCAAGCUGAACCCAAGUGCUGGAGUAGCCUAUCACCAAGCUGCACUUGUUGCUAGUCUGUAUUUCUCAAAAAAGAGAAAAGAAAAAAGAAAUGUGUAUUCUAUAGGUUGAUGUUAAGCUGUAGCUCGUGGCUUAACAACAACUUGGAUCUGGGUUAUGCAGUGAAAUGCCUCGAAAUCAACUGAUAAUUAAACAGCAUAGCUCUUUUAUUAGCACGAAUAAUAAUAUUUUUACUAGCCCAUCCACACCCCCCCCCCCCCACCUAAUGAAUAUGUUGAAGUCGAUGUGUCCUCCACUUUCCCCGAGUAUUGACGCUACCAAGAUUCCAUCAAAUAUCGAACUUAUGCCAAUGAACAUCAAGUUGCUAUUUGCAAUCGCUGCUCGCUAGAGCAUAUGGGCUUACCUACAAAUAAGUAAAAUCGACAACAAAACUUUGGUCACAUUCACAUGCCUCCAAUUGAGUAGCUCUAUAUGUAUGUAUGCAGUUGGCUCCUACAUAUAGUAUCAAAUUCUCAUACGUAAAGUCUUCUAACUGUUCAAACUCUAGAGUAGCUUUAGAAUUAACUGGUGCACCAAAAAUCUUGCGGAAUACUAAGGCACAAUAUGACUCAUCCAUACGAAGCAUAUCUUCUUAAUACUUGAUCUCUAAAACUACUUUAAAAUUAGUCAACUCUUCAUCCCCAAAGCUGACUAAAUCUUCAAAAAAAAUAUCCAUAUCUUGUAUAGCUUUAGCAUGAUUAGAAUCUCUAUAACCGGAUCAUCUAUAACAUCUUUUGGCUCAUUCUAAGCAAGUUCAAAAUCAACUUUCUUCUUCCAUCACCUCUUCUAAACUUGAUACAGUAUCCAUUUGAUCAAGUUCCUUUUGCUCCUAAUUUUCUUCUUGAUUGAUCCUUGAGCCGAUCAACCUUGCCCUACUCUAAGUUUUCAAAACUAGAUCCAGUCUCUAGCUGAUGAUUCUUCCUUUGCUUCAAUUCUUCAUCUUUAAAUUGAUUCUGCUCUUCAUUUGGAUUUUUGAGAAAGCCUGGAACUAGAACCCACUCUUCAAGUAACAUUUCUUUGAGAACAUCUUGAUGUCUUAUCUUAUCAGAUCUUGAGCGGAUGACCACAAUAAUAUCCUAUACUUUCUUUGGCUCCUCUUUAUCUUAGAUAUGGAGAUAAUUCUCUCUAUCAACUAUAGCUUAGUUAAUCCACAUCACCUCCUUAGAUUUCAUAUUCCACUUUUUUCUUGCAACCUUAUUAUCAAGAGUAUUUGUUGGCAUCAUUUUUGAUUCUUCCAAGAUAUCCCAUAAAUUUUGUCCCAUCAAAUAUGAUUUGACCAUGAACAUCCAAAUUGAGUAACAUGUGCUUUUCAAUUUAUGAAGACAAGAAGCAACCAUGUUGAUGUUGGUGAAGUCAACCAUUAUGAUAUGAAUAUUGAAUUAUAAUAGAGUCCAUAUGUUUACCUACACACACAAUAAACUACUGGAAGCUCUAGUAUCACAUUAAACAAUUACCUUCAAAACCACCAACAUUCAAGUUGUCACUCCGAAAAUUUAACUCGAGAUAAAUCUAAUCGAAGCCCACCACUUAGCCACACUCAAACCUUGCUCUUAUUCCAUGAAGAACAACAUAAUCUUUGUGUAGAUCAAAUGCGUCGGCCUAGGAUUCAAAAUAAAUACUAUUAAACCAAGCAAUGGUAGUGGAAGAAAAAAAAAAUUGGGAGUAAAAAAUAAUUUUUUUUCAAAAAAAUAAAGGUUGAAGUAAUAAGUUCGUCUCCUCACAAAAAUGCCUUAUAAAAGACUCUCUCUAUCACUUUUCACAUAACUCUCUCCCUAUCAUAAAACCACACUCUCUUCCACAACAAGAUAAAAAUGUCGCCAUCUCCCACUAAAACACAAA